rnacentral:lncRNA from 1 species
AAAUUUUGUGCCUUAUUAGUACUGCCUUCUCCGAAACGUUGCAGAAGCUGCACCUCCAGUCAAUGUGAUAUUAUCAAUUCAGCACUCUGCUUUCGUGAAGGGAGAUCAAACCAAAUUCCAGAUUGAACCAUCGUUUGGAGUUGAAGCCUCGCAGCUUUAUCCUCAAGUCAAGUACACUACAGUUGAUGAGUAUCUCAGUCAGUUUGUGUAACCCUUCUCUGUUGAGCUGCAGCUUGCAGGAUCUUGGGAAAUAAAUAAUUGGCUUGUUGCCAUCUUUGGUUUCUAUAUGUAAGCAUUAUGGUUGUUGGCCUUACUUUCGUUUGGUUCUCAAUGGAAUUUGUAACACGAUAUUAUGUCCGCUAUGUCAGUACACAGUGAUUAAAUAAAGUAGCUCCAUGUGCUUAAUCUAAAAAUAAUUAUAAAGUCACAAGCACCUAAAAGUUAAACAACAAUGAUAUGCUUACAACAAUGUGUACGACAUCUAAUACAACAAGGAUCAUUUUGCAAAAUAUGUUAAAUUUUAUUAAUUUCUUUGCUGCCCAAAGAUUUUUAUAUUCAUCUUAGGGACCUAUAAUCUUAAUGAAUCAUCUCUUCUUCCAUUUCUCCUACAUCUAUCCUUAAAGCCUUUUAAAGUUUUAACUAUUAUUUUAUAAACUUUUAAAUGAUUAUCAAACUUAUAUAGAUCUAUAAAUUCUAGAUGAGAUCCUAUAUUUAUGAUCAUUUACCUCUUUUGUAACAUGGACCAAAUUUUUUCUUUUAACAUUUCUAUACACACACACACACAUCUAUUUUUCCAACUAAGGAUUAUGUCAUCAAGGCUUUCACAGAGAGGUUGCAAUCUAAAUUUAGCUUCUUGAAUGAACAUAUUCAUAUUAUCAUUAUUAUUAUUCAUUAGUUAUGGUCGGUUUUGAGUUCUAUUAUUAGUUCUGCACCUAUCUUGUAUUAUUUCAAGACUAGACAAAAUUGAUUCCAUUAAUGCUAUCCUAUUUUCCUCUUCAAAGGAAUCAAAUACUUCUUGGUCGUUAUGGAUGUUAAUUCUUUUCAUUUCUUUGGACAAGCGCUUGCUUGCAUUCGAUCUGAUUUUAACAAUAGAAAUUGUAUAAACAACUUGAUAUUCUUAACUGAAAUAUAAAUUAUCAAUUGAAUCUAAAAACUUGUUAACAGAUGUUUCCAUUUUUUUGAAUUUGAGUUAAUCUUAUCACUUUUUUUCUUAUAAAAUCUCAAAAAACAAACAAGACCCAAUAUACUUCCGUUUGUUGCUAAAAUAAAAAAAAAGGUUCAAAAUUACUAUCUCUCGGAAUUCUAAGAUAGAUUCACUAAUUGCCUCCAACCAUAGAGAGGUCCAUAGUCAGCACUGCUAUAAGUCCACACAUCAUGUAAGAUCAACUUAGCAACUAUUCUACACGGCCUAAUGCAACACAUAGCAGUUUGGCCUUGUAAGAUAUGUCUAAGUGAAUUUCUUGCAAUUGUCUCUGGAAAAGUACUUAAUAACAAGAAAUCUUCCUCGUCUAACACAAGUAUUGGCCUGUAAGCUUCUUAGUUAAUUUCUAACAAAAUAUAUGAUAUCAGGAAGAUGAUAAUUUCACUUAAAAGAGUUUUUUAUUUAUUUUAUAACUAGAAAUGUUUGCAAAGGAAAGUCAUAGAGAAUACAAAUGUGGGUGAAGGUUUAGACAUAUGAUGUCCUCCAUUUCUUACAUGUUUCGAUUUAUAAGCUUGAAGAGAUAAUAUUAUCUCCUCUUACAUGACACUUGUUAAAUUUUUCUAGUGGAUUGUGGAUUCCUUUAUGAUAAGGUGACCCCUAUCUUCUUCUAUCAUUAAAGACAUAUGUUGUCAUCUUUUUCUUAUUGACUAGCAGCCUUCACAUGGUUAUGAUAAGCUUUAUCUUUUUGGAAUCUUUUCUUAUCUUUUCACAUGCCAAUUAUCAGUUCUUCAUCUAGCGGCAUGUCUUCCCCAUUAGAUUCCCAUUUUGAUCCUUUGUAGCAAUAACCAUAUGAUGACUGAUGAUUUAGCACCUUGCAUACCUCGUGGUGUGUUAGCAAGCUAGAUUCCACGAGAUUUUCAUAGAUUGCAUUUUUCUGUUUUAGUAUUGCCUAUUGUUGGAUAUAAAUUCAAUUGUUAGUGGUGUCAAUGUGCAAGUGUACACAACAAGUAGUAAAGUGAUGAGUAAUCAAGAUCGUAUCCAUAGGGAUUGAUGUUAUUAGACUUACUACAACAAUCUUAACAGUGCAGAUUUUUUUUCUAAAUUAAAAUAAAUAAUUGAUGAAACUAAUGUACUAAUUAAAAUAAAAACACAAUAAAUAAAAUGCAAUAAAGUAGAUUAUCACGUCAAAUUCAAGGAUAAAACCAAUGGGAAUAUAGAAUAGUUUAGUGAAUAAACUCUCUUAAUGGUCUUGACUAUUUUCUAAUGUUUGGCUCGGUUGUUGCAGCAUCUGCUAUAGCACUGGGAAGAAUCCUUAUGUAUCCUCAGCUGUCGCAUGUUGGAUGUCUUAUAUCUAUAUGCAACUUAAUAGUGAUCAAUUGUUAUGCCAACAUAAGAUAUAGCAUUACACGUUUAGGUUUUAAUUACCCUACAAGAUUGAUUAACACUAAAAAGUGUACGUGUAAUAAGGAUAAAAUUAUUAGUUUUUCACUUAAAGUGUUGAUUAAUGCACGCAUAACUUAUAAAUUAUAUGAAUGCACCCCAAAUAAAUUUUUGUGUUAAAUUAAUUCGCAAUAUGUUAAUUUUUAUCUUAUAAAUAUUUUUCAGGAAUAAAUUAGAAUUGAAAGCGGGAACAAAGAAGGACUGCUGGAGCAAUUUGGAAGCAUUAUUGAGGAGAUGUAAAUAAAGAAAAAAAUAAAAAAUAAAAAAUAAAAAAUAAAAAAUAAAAUAUAAAAAAGAAAAUGAAUAAAAAAAAUAAAAAAAGAACAAAAACCAAGCAAUUUAGUUUCUCAUGAUGGCCACUUGACCAUUACACAUUUCAAUGUACACAUAUAAUAAUAAUAAUAAUAAUAAUAAUAAUAAUAAUAAUAAUAAUAAUAAAAUAAAUAAAGAUAAUGCAUUCCUUGCCUAUAAAAGGCAAGGAAAAGCAGAGAGCUGGGCAUUGAGAAGUUAGAGAACUGAGUAGAGACAGCUUAAGCCGAAAGAGAAUAGAGUGCAGCUGAGGAAUUGUGUCUUUUUCUUCUUUUGUUGUAAUCAACUUUCUUGUAACGUAUUUCCAAAGUUUAUCAAAUAAAUAGAGUGUUGUAUUUUCUUUCAGUAUGAAUGACUAAUUUUAUUAAGCUGAGGUGAAGAGUGAAGCUCAAUAUUUCAAACUAUUAAAUUUAUUAUUUUCUCAAAUGAGUUUUAAAGUUUAUUUUGUUCUUUUCUAGUUAUUUUUAUGUCAUGUUAAUUUAGAAAUUUCUUUAGGAUUUGUAUAGUAUUUUGACACAAUGUCGACACAUUAAUAUAGUGUGGCAUAUUAGGUACUUUAUUCCAUAUUUAUCCACACACAUAGAAUUAAAUGAUAUAAUAAUUAACUGGUAAAAGUGAGGUAAAAUAUAAAUGCGAGAGUAUUAAAAUUAUAGUUUGAAUACUGAGAGUGGAUAUUGUAACCUUAGUAUAUUUUUAAAUUGUUUUCAAAUAAUUUAUUUUCCCACAAUUAAUUUUCUUUGUUUAAUAAAUUGACAACUAGAUUUUAAAAUUUCCUAUGGUUCGACCCCGGACUCACGGGUUAUAUUAUAAUUAGACACUCUUAUACUUGGGAGUAAUACACUUUUAAGUUGUGUCAAAGGUGAAUCUCUAUGUCUAGUUCAUCACUAAUUUUAGAUUAAGCAUGACCCUUUUGGGAUUAAAUAAAACUCAAUCCAAGAAACCCAAUCUAAUACCAAGUAUUGCUAUGAUAUGCUUCACUAAGAUAAGCCCUUGUGUGGCUCUUUUUUAGCUAGUAUCAUUAAAUGGGUGAUCAACCGAAAUAAAUAAAAAUAAAUAUUAUCAAAAUAAAAUAUUACAGCAAACAUGCAGCAACUCAUAUAUUCAGUCAAUAAACCAUCAAAAUUGCUUAUCACUCAACCACAAAUAAAUCUAGUUCACGGUUUGAAAAAGAAAAAUAAAGAACAAAGUUUUAGCCAUCAAACACAUUCCCAUGAAUAAAAAGUAAACAUGAAAAUAAGAGAAGAAUAAAAAGGACUGAGUUCCCGCUUGAUUUCUACAAAUUCUCCUCUUGUGCAGCCCUUAAUCUCUCUCUUAAAUUUUUUUUUCUUUUGUUUCUUUGUGGUUUUUCUCCUUGGGUGACAGCUCUUUCUUUUCAUUAUGAUGUGUGCUCCUUUUGUAGUUGAAAAUUAGGGUAAACAGAAGCAUAGGUCGUGCAUAAGUCAGAUUAGGAAAUUGCAAAUCACAAUAUUCUGUAAAAUUUUCUCUGUCAUCGUUCCAGAAUUGCUACAGCAACGAAUGUUAUGCUGCAGCAACGAUUGCUACAGUAAUUACUACAACAACUGCACUGUUCUAGAUUUAUUUCAAUUCUUCUGUAGUCAAGUUCUUUUUCAUCUUUUACAAGACUAUUACAACAACAUUCCUUUCUUGAAAUUUGAGCUUCCGGUCACCUACAAUUAUGCAUAUAAUUUAAGCACACAAUUUAUUCUAAAUCAAACAAAAUUUAUGAAGAAUAAACUAAGAUGAAUGAUUAUGCAAAAUAUAACUAAAAUGCAAUAAAAAAACAUGUUAUUUACUCUCAAAGUAAUCUUGAUUUAAGUCUAAAAGUGUCAUGAUAACUCUCAUUUUAUAAAGUUAUCACCUAUCUGGCUAAGAUACUUUCUUUUCUACUAAAAAAAAAGAUUAUAUGGUCCUUUGUGGCUUCAUGGAGCCAUAUUUUUUUCUUACUUAUCCUCUCGAGAAAUUCAUGGAGGACUUUCAUUUAAAUGAUCUCUUUGCUCGUGAGAGCUUUAGGCUCGAAUAGUUUGGGAUAAUAAUCAUUGUAGACCUGACCUACAUCAACAGUUGGACUAACUUUUUUACUACUAAUCCCAACUUAUAUCUAUGUGCUGCACUGGAUACCAUUUGUUAUUACAGUGUUCAGGGAAAGCAGUGAGAAUCUUGAAAAAAAUCAUAUCUCUUGUUUUAGAUAUUCUUUUGAGAUCACUGACAGCCUUUGUAAUUUUUUCGGGGAGCUUUUUUAAUUCCCUACAUAAACAAGGUUAAAAAAACUAUAUUCAAACAUUUCUUUUAUUAAUUUUGCAUCAGCUUCUGGACCAAAGUUAAUCCUUAGGUAAUAUCCUAAAUGAUUCGGUAUUAUAGCUUGGCUAGGACAAAUCCCAUAGGCUAUUUUACCAAUUAUUUUACAAUCAUAAGUGUAAUUGCUUCCUAGUGGAAUUUUAACCAUUAGAAUGGAUUGUUCGCUUUUAUCAUAUUGAGGCCUUAAGCUCACUGAAGAGGUUUAAGAUUCUUUUUUCUUUUGAGUUAUAUGAAGAACUCUAGGUAGUCUGCCCUUCAGUUUGAUCCUUGAAAUGGAUCUUUUUUAGCUUAUUACUAAUAUAUUGUUAUAAAGUCUGGACUUCUGGAUGAUUUUGCAAACUUUUGUCAGGGCAAAGUCAGCUCAAUUCUUCAUGGGCAGCAUUAAUCAUGACAAGCCCAUCAUAAAUCAUACUAUUGCCUUUGAGAAGCAAUUCUUGUCCUUUAGAGCACAUCAUUAUGCCCUUAAUUAUUUCGGAAAGACUCCUCUCCAUGUAUUCUCGGCUAAGAAAAUCUGCAAUACAAGGGUUAGGUCAUUUAAUAUAUUCAAUUCAAAAAUCAUAUUUAGUAAAGAACUGCCGCCAUCUAAUUAAUCUUUUAUAUUAAGGGAGAUUAGACAAUUUAUUAAAUAUAAAUCCUUUGACUCAAGUGUUAUUAGAUCUUACCUUGAAUUUCUUUGGUAGCAAAAAGAAAGUAAAUUUAGUUAUUCCAUUUUUAAAUAUAAAUGUUUCGCUGACAUAUCUGCAAAUCUUUUCUUGAUCUAUUUUUAAAACUGCACCCCAAUGAUUAUCUGAAGCAUUAGUUUCAAGAAUUAAAUUAUCACUAGUGGUAGGAAAUCCUAAUCUUGGUAGAUUUUUACAUUUUUCUUUUAAUCUUUUUCCCACUUUGGUAUAAAGAUCUUCCCAUGAUUUUAUAUUGUUCUUUUUUAAUAAUCCUUGUGAAAGUUGUUUUUCUUUAACUAAGUUUUAUAUGAAACCUUCAGCAUAAUUAAGGCAUCCUAAAUAUCUUUGAAUUUGUUCUUUAGAUUCUAAUUUAUCUAGGAAUAAAUAUAUAUUUUCAAAAAUAUGAGGUUGCAUCUCAAUACCUAUUUCAUCUAUUAUUAAUCCUAGAAAUUCUAUUCUAGGUUUCAUUAUUUCGGCUUUCUUUUUAGAAAGUAAUAUUCCAUGUUUCUUUCAUUUUUCUGUAAAAGAAACGAGAUGAUUAAUAUGAUCUAUCUCAUUAUCUAAAUAUAUUAGAAUAUCAUCCAUAUAAACAAUGCAAAAUUCAUGAAAUUCUUUGAAGAUUUUAUCCAUCCUUCUUUGAAAUAUUUGUGGUGCAUUUUUUAAUCUAAAAAGCAUCACAAUCCAUUUAUAUUGUCCUUAAGGUGUACUAAAGGCAGUAAGUGGUAAUACUCUCUUCUACAAGUUUGAUUUGCCAAAAUCCAUAUUUGCAAUCAAACUUGCUAAAUAUCUUUUUAUUAAUUACAAAGGUAAUUAAUAUAUUUUUAUGAGGUAAAAAGUAUCCAUCAAAUUUGGUAUAUUUAUUUAAUUAUUUGUAGUUAAUAACCAUACGAGCUUUUCCUCAUUUAAUCUCUACAUGAUUCCUAAUCAUAAAGAUUGUACUACUAUGAGGACUUUUAAAUUAUCGAAAAAUCUUAAGUUCUAAUCUCUUUAAUUUGUUUAUCAAUUUUUUGUCUAUCUUCUUGCCCAUAUCUCAUAGGCUUAACACAUAUAAUAACAUUUGGAUCUUUUAAUUCGAUCUUAUCAUAUGCUUUAUCAAUUUCCCAUAAUUGAAUGGGGUUUUCACCAAAAUUUUUAUCAAGUUUUUCUAAAUUUUUUUCAUAAUUUGAUAUGAUUUGAUUGAUUUUUAUAGCAUAAUUACCACGCUAGUUGUGUUGAAAAUGUAAUUUUUGAGUUGUUCACCUAACAGGGUUAUAAAUUCUUGGUGUAGUAACGGAAUGAUUACAUGAUGUUUUAAGAAUAAUUAUUUCGUUAGUCAUUGUAUAAAUGAACUGAUGAAGGAAAUUAAUUCCUAAAAGUAUAUCUACACAUAUAUGAUCAUAAGACCAUAAUAUAGGGAUACUUAGGAUAUAAUCUUCUAUUUGGAUUAAAGUCUUAAUCCUACAUGUCCUUAAGGUGAUCUAUUUAACAUUUAUUCCUUGUCCUGUUAAAGGCUUAUAAUCUUUCCAAUAUGAUUUUGGAUAAAACCUAGAAUUAGCUAAACUAACUCUUGAACCAGUAAUAAUUAAAGCAUGAAACCAUUCUCGCUUAUGCUUAUAGUAUGGUAUGAUCAUUUUUAUAUGAACUACAAAAAGAUUAGACAUAUCUUGAUAUGGUUUGCUUAAUCCCUUCAAUUGUUAUGCUUAUUUCUCUAUCUCUUAUGCAAUAAGGAGAGAAAUUUUCAAAAAAAAUUCAUCCCUAAUAAUAAAGGAUUUAUUUUUGUUUCAUAAUUUGAUUCUAUGAAAAAAAGAAAGAUAAAUUCUAUUCCUUUUAUUCUUAAUGGUAUUUCACACUACUGACUUAAUGUCUUUCUUUCUCCAUUAAAGCCUACAUAUGUAUGAGGUUCAAUUAGAAUCUUUCUUUCUAAAUAUUUAAUCAUUUUGGCAUCAGCAUAAGAUUUUACUACUCCUGUAUCAAGGAUAGCAAAAGUCUCAUGGCAUGAUUUUCUAUUAUUCUAUUCAAUCUUGAUUUUUAAGUUUUGAUUAUUUUUCUAACUGUGGCCGAUAUUUCAUGUGAUAGUGGUAUGACAAGAUGGUUACAUCUAGUAUAACUUUGGGUUCUACUUAAUUAUGGUUCUAUUUUGAGUAUAGAGAAUGAUCUUCUAUUUCCUAUGAUGAUUCUUCCUUCUAGAGUAUAUUCUAUGGGUUUAGUAGUAUUUCCCCUUAUCAGAGUAGGUUGACUACUUAGAUCCAUUUCCCAUUCUUCUGGUAAAUUUAUUUCUCUUAAAAUUUUAAGAGAUUGUGUCAUUCCAACUUUCUUAACUAAUUUAUCUAUUUCAAUAAAAUCUUUAUUAGCAAACAUUUCACUAUUGGCUGAAUUUGUUAAUGCAUAUUCUAUGGCAUACGUUAUGCUAUAUGGAUAAGAUCUAUCAUGCAUUAUAUCAAAGUAUUUAAAAUUACGGCAUAAGGUUAAUUUAUUUAUAUUUCUAUCUCUAAAACUUAUAGAAUAUAUGGAAUAUAUCUUAAAUAUCAAUUUUUUUUUUAUAACUCAAGUUCUUUAUAUUAUUCCAAGGAGUGCAUGUUUUCGAUCUUUUAUUCUAUUAUCAAGUACUGCUAAAUUUACAGGACUAUCUAUUUCUUUUCGAAAAUGAGCUUUUAUCAUGACUUGGAUUCUUCCAAUAUGGACAUAUCCAAUCUUAGGUCUGUCGCUAGAUUUUAUCUUUUAUAUCAGAUUUUAAUAAUAAUGGUAUAUUUUGUAUUUCCCCUAGCAUACCUAAUUUCAACAAGCUCUUCUCACACAGUAGCACUAGAAUACGUUAUAUUUUUUCUUUUAAUCAUGUUAGCAAUUCCUUGUGCUAACUUAUUAAUUGAAGUCAUGGAUGAUUCUAAUCCUUUUUUUUUAAUCUUAAGGUAUUGUUUUUUUUAUCAAAGAUUAAUUCUCUAUUAAAAGAACCUUAUUCAUUAAUUCUCUAUUAAAAGAACCUUAUUCUUCUAAUUCUUCAUCCUGAUAUAAAUCUUUAUUAUCUUGUUCUUCUAUACUCAUUCUGAAUCUGAACUACUUGAAGUUUCUUCAGAAAGAUAAUAUAUAUUAUCGUUUUCACUAAUAUCUUCUCUAUUUGUAAUUAAUUCUAAAUUGUUGAAAUCCUCAAACAUCUUUAUGUUUGCUUUCUUCUUUUUAGGACAUUCGUUUGCAUAAUGCCUAUCGUCAUUGCAUAACCAACAUUUAGAUGCAUUGGUCUUAGAUUUUCUUUUAAAUUUAUUUUUCUUGUAGAAUUUCUUCUUAUAUUUACUUUUGUUGUAAUAUUUCUUGUUGGUUUUAAAGAAUUUCUUCCUACGUUCAUAGAUUUUAUCUGAACAUCCAAAUCUUGGUGGAUCUUCUAACUUAGAACAACAUAAUCCUCGAUUUUGCUUUUUUAUAAGUCUUUUAUCUCUUAUUUCAGCACACCAUUCGCUGAUUCUAUUUCCAGUAAAUCUGAUCUUAUUUCCUAAGGUAUUAGUUUUCGUUGUAUCUUCAUAUUUCUUGUUAUAUUCUAACAUAAUCUUUUUCCCCUAUAGGUCUGGUAUCUUUAUAAAAUAUAGAUCAUUAUAAUAGCAUAUGAUAUUUUCAUGUUUAUCAAAUUCACAUUUAUAAUAUAAUUUUUCGAGGCUACAUGUGUAUUCUUCUAAAUAACAUAUAUUACAUAUUUUAAGCCUUAUUAGCUUUAUUACAUUUUCCAUCAUUUUCCUCUUUAUUUCCUGUUGAAAAUUAGUUUCCUAAUCUUCUCCUAAGAAUUCUUUCCUUAUUUCAUUUUCAAAUUUAUUUACGACUUGAUCCAAGCUUUCGUCAUGAUCAUUAUUUUCUCCAUAUAAUAUUUUAUUUUUGUCGGUAUCCUUUAAUUCCAUAAACCAAUGUGACACUAUUCCUAUAAACGAAGUUUUAAGAAAUCCUAUACCAUUAUUUCUAUCUAUUUUGUUAAAUGCAAAUGCCUUUUUCAUAGAUUUAACCCAAGCGGUAAUCGUUUAGUCUCUAUCUUUGACACAGUCUAAAUCCAACCAUACUCCAUCAUAGUUGAUUGGUCUGUCUCUGUAUUCUCUUGGAGUUUUAUAUAUAUUUUUUUAGGUUUGUUAACCCUAAAAUAUUGACCUUGUGGUUUUCAUGAGUUGGUAUUUCUUUCCUAGCAUAGGAACCUCUAUUACUAGAUUCCCUUUGUUCAAAGACCCUUGGCUUUGAUUCAUUCAUUUUUAAAUGUUCUAUUCUAUUUUCAAUAUCUUGUAAGUUAAUAAAUACAUCUUCUUCCUCUUCAGAUUCAUAUUCUUUAUCGGAUAUCUCUGGAUUAGAUAAUUCUUUUAAUCCAUUAUCUAUAUUUUCACUUAACAUCCUUAAACUUAUUAAUUUUUAUCUUCAUUUAUUUUGUUAAAUAUUGGUCUUGAUAUUGCUACCAUUUUUUUAUUUUUCUUUUCAUCGUAGUAAAUUAUGGUAUCUUCUAAAAUUUUAUUUUUUUCUUGAAUUACCAUGAGUAGUUCUUCCAUAUUGUUACUAAUCUUUUGUACUUCAAUCCUUUUGUAAUUUUCCAUUUAUACUUAUUGCAAACUUGUUACCAAGUUGUUCAAUGAUUUUUUCAAUUUUAUAUAAUUGAAUUUCUAUCUUAUUUAAUUUAUCUUCAAUUAAAUUUUUGUUCAUGACAUUAAAGAUUUCUUGUCUGAAUCUAAUCUUAAUCUUCAAUUUUGAAGUCUUUUAUUAAUUGUUUGACUGAAUCAAAUUCUUCACUUAUUUAAUCUCCUAACAUUUUAAUUUAUCUUAUAUUUUGAGCAUUAAAACUUUUAAUUUCAAGUAUUUCAUUUGUACUUUCUAUAUCAUUUAUGGUUAAAUUAUGAUUUCCUAAUUUAUUUAAUAAACAUAGUGAAAUCCAGUUUAACUGAUUAUUUCCCCAAAAAUCAGAAUCAUUUACCAAAUUAAAUGGUUGAAAUCUUCUAUAAGUAAAUUCUCUAUGCCUACAACUAGACGGUGGAAAUUUAUAGGUUUCUAUGUUUUGUGAAAUUAUCAAUGGUUCUAUAAUUUAUUCAUAGUACCAUCUGCAUAAUAUUUCAUUAUAUGCUAACAAGUAUUUGUGACAUAUAAUAUCUCUUAUAUCGUUAGGAAUAUUGUUUUCUUCUAAUCCUUUAUAUAUAUAGCAAUAUACAUAAUAAAAUUUUUAUAUCCUAUCAGCAUGUUACUAGAAGGAUAGUAUUUACUUCUAAUCCUUUUAUUAUUCCAAUUGUAUUCAUUUCUUUGCUUAAUAGUUAAAAAUAUAUUAUAAUCAAUCACAAGUUCGUCUGUAUAAUUCUCAACAGAAUUAAUAUUCCAUUUUUUUUCAUGAAAAAUUAUUUCUAUAAACCUCUCUCCUAGUUCUCAAUAGGAGAAUAUGAUCUAUGUUUAAAUUUCUAUUCUUUAUUAUUAUGAGUUCUCCAAUUCUAAAUUCAUGAACUUGGGAUAAAUACAAUUGUUCUAAUUGUUUAUCAUCCAAUCUAUUUUGUUUUGAAUAAUAAUAUUGUGUAUGUUUAGUUAUGUUAUCCUUAAUUGUAUUACUAUCUAUCAUUAGAUUCUAUCCUCCAUUAUUUAUAAAAUAAACAAUCGUUUCUUCCAUUUUUAUAUUUUGAACCUAAAACUUGCCUUUGAUACCAAUUUUGCGAAUAUUUUUCAACCCAAAAUUCAAAUAAGGAUGUAAAUGAUUAAUUUUUAAAACUUUAUGAAUGCUUUGUAAUUUUGUUUUAUUAAAAGACAGUUUUAUGCAAAGUAUUGUGCAAUCUUUUGGAAGAUUGUCUUUUUCCGAAGUUAAAAGUAAUUCAUCAAUAUUUGACAUGUCAAACGCAGAAAUUAAAAGUAAUUCAUCAACAUUUGUCGUGUCAAAUUUACUUUAUGGAGGAGAAAUUGUAGGAACCAAUUUUAUGGGAUAGAAAAUUCUAGAAAUCCAAUCGAAAGAUAUUUAAUAAAUAAUUUUGUAGUAGAUUAUGUUAAAUAUAAUAUAUAAUAAAUCCAUGAGUUGUCACUCAUGACAAUUCAAUUAUUUAGUUUUGACUAACAAUAUUAUUACGUAUAACGUUAAUAUAACAUAGCAUGAGCCAUUUUAUAGUAUUAUUUUAACUGAAUUGAAAUUCUCGAAAUAAAAAAUUGAAAAGAAUGAACCUGGUGGUUGUUGUGAACCAAAAACAAGCCAGUAUUAUGCUUACAUCAUUCCAUUCUACAGUAAAGGUUAUUUAUAAUCAUAAUUAUAGCACCAAAUUAAUUGUAUUAUUAUAAGAGGUUAUAACUUAAUAGAUGUGUAAUUAUAAAAAUUAUUAUUUUAACUUAAUUAUUUUUAGUGCCAGUGAUAUGGAGACCAAAUAUGCACUAUAUUGAUAAUUAAUUAAUGUAGCAUGUCAAAUUCAAUUUAUAGACAAUAAUGAAAGAGAUACACAUAUUUAAAAAAACUAGUACGUAUAUUAUGUAAUAUUGGAAUUAUGCAAAUUUAUCUUGAAAGUUUAAAGAAUAAAUCAUUGUCCUAAAUAAUUUUAGAAAGUUAUUUUACUCCAUCUUAAACCUUUAAUACAACAUGGCAUUUUUUUUUAACAAUAUACCAAUAAUUAUUAUUAUAUAAAGGCAAAUUUCUUAAAAUCAUAUUUAAAAAAAUUAUAAUUCAUUAUAAUAUAGAGUUUAUUCUUAUUUAUAACUACUAGGCUUAAUAAUAGAACGAGUUGUACCCGAGCCAUGCCAAGACCUAGCCCAACCCUAUGACUAGAAUGAAGGGAUCUUUUUAUCAUUAUAAUAACUACCUUUCAUCAAUUUUUUUUUUAAAACUAUAUAAAGAUUAUUCUUACAUGAAGUAACAAUACAAGGCCCUCAUUAAGAAAUGAACCUGGACGACAUUAGGGCCUUUAUCCACAAACAAAAUUUCAAAACAUACUUAAAAAAAAAAAUCCAACACAUCCGUUAAGUACAACUUUAACAUGGUCACAUGAAAUUUGUGGGGUUAAUUUAUUUAAUUGUAUGCACCCGUUUGGUUUCAUUGAUCUCAUGGCUCAGGUUGAUAGUUAUUAAGUUAUGAGUCAUGAUUACCUAAAAUUUAUUUGGUUAUCCGUUAUUCUAAUGUUGUAUUUAAACCAUAAAACUAGAGAUAACAAAAUUUAUGAGAAGUUUUGUCUUAUCACAAUGUCUAUUACUGAAGAACGUAGUCCUCUUGAAUAACCAUGAUAAUUUAUUUAAUUUCUUUUGCUCUAUCUUAAACAUAUUAUAAUUGUAGUCAAAGUUUUGAUAGUAAAAAUAUAAAUAAAUAGAUAAAACAAAUGUGUCUAUUUCCAUAACUAAAGGGGUGUAUAUAUACAUUUGGACCAACCGAUAAAAUUUAGAUCAUGACAUUAGGUGAAAAUAAUCUUAUUUUAUUUUCUUUAGAUUAUGUUGGAGUUGUAACUUGCAAUCGAACAAUUCUCGAUUGAUUUAACAAAUGACCUUAAGGCCAUGUUUGCUUGGGGUAGAGAAGUGGGGAGAGGAAAAGAAUUUGAUUUCUUUUAUACUUUCCAUUGUUUGGUUAGACUAAAUUUAAUGGAAUUGAAUUUCCAUCAAUUUGAAGAAUUUGUAUUCCUUAUCAAUGAAUAAGGAUUUCAAAUUCCUUAUCUAUUUAAACACAAAAAUUCUAAUAUUAUCCUCUAAACAAAAUCAAUUUUAAAUAAAUGAAAGUAAAAAUAAUUUAUAUUUAUUUUCUUAAAUUAAUAGAAUAAACUUAUUUGAAAAAAGAAAAAACAGUAAAGGGACUCCCCAAAAAGUCACCGGAGUUUCGCCGGAGACGCGCUUUACCAUCAAAACCGGUACCGAUGGAAUCCUUAUGAGUCAAUCUACAACUCUAUGGGGUUAGAAAUGCUAAUAUACAUUGUUAUUUACCUCAAGUCUUAUUUAAAUGUUUGGGAAAAUUUUAACUCUCAUAUUUCCAACUAUAUAGUGUAUUUUCUUCAAAAUUAACAUUUCUAAUGAGUAAAUCAUCCAUUUAUGAUCAUUAUUAUGCAUUUAACGCGAUGAAAAAUGGAGGUCAAUGAUGGUCAAUGGCACCGGUCAAUGGUGGUUAAUGGAGGUCAACGUGGCAGCUGUCCAUGGCCAAAUGCUGUCAUUUUUAAAAAAAAUAAAAUUUUUUAUUUAAUUAGGUAAUUUUUAGAUUAAAUUAAUUCAUAAUUUUAUUAUGUUUUAAUUUAUUAACAAUAUUAACAUUAAAGAUAGUGGGUAUAUAUUUGUCCAAAUAAAAAAUAUGUAAUUUCUUUUCCUUUUAAAUUUUAUGUGAAACCAAACAAUAACAAUUAAUUUUUGUACUCUUUUCCUCUCACCACCUCUCCAUUCCUCUUUUUUUUUUUUUUUUUCUCCUCUCCUCUCCUCCCAUUUCUUAAAACCAAACACCUCCUUCUUAGGAGGUGUUUGGUUUUGUAAAAUGAAAAAUUCUAUAAAUAUGAUUUUGUUGAAGCCUUAAAUAAACCAUACAGUCUGUGCCGCGUAGAAUGGGAUACAGAAUUUUGUAUUUAGCUUGCAUGCAAAAUGCAACAUGCUUACGUGUGUCUAAUUUUCUAAAUAUCUCAUCCAUGCGGCAGCUAGCUUAGCCUUUUUAUAUUGAAUAAUUGAUCAUACAAGUGUAGUUUGUUAGUUUUACGCAACCCACGUAAAUCAAUUUUAUUACGCAAGAAUUAUUGAGAAAUCGCAAAUUAAGUUGAACUGGUCCAUGGUCAGAUGGUCUCGUCUCGUCUCGUCUCACCACUUGGUAUUGAUGCCAUGGGAAAAGAGUAGUUGGUUACUUGAUUUUUUAGACUUGGGGUGGCAUUGAAAAAGAUUGUUGAAAAGGAAUCGAGUGAAUCAAAUCGAAUUAGUUUGUCUUUCUGUACAAUACAUCCCCCAUUAUCUAGCUUAUUCAGUCUUGAGAAUUAUUAUCUGAUUUUGAUCCCCCAUUUAAACUUUUUGCCAAGACUAUCCUAGAAAUUGAUUUGUUUAUCAUUGCUUCUUGGUCCUUACGGUCUUUUAUGAAUCACAAUCAAUUUAAUCAUACAUAAAAAUACGGGUACAAGCUGGUUAGCUUACACGCUUCCUAUAUAAGAAAGGUACGGGAAUCAGAUUCAAAAUAUCCAUCCAUUCAUAAUUUAAAAAAAAAAAAAAAAAACUCCGGAAUUGAACUGAACGAGUUUCAGACAUGGCAUCGAAAUCCAAGAUUCUAUCCAUCGGCGGGACAGGGUAUAUCGGUAAAUUCAUCGUGGAAGCAAGCGUUAAAGCUGGUCACCAGACACCAGACGUUCGUGCUCGUGAGAGAAUCCACACUCUCUGAUCCCUCCAAAUCUCAACUCCUCGACCACUUCAAAAACCUCGGCGUCAAUUUCGUUAUCGUGAGUUAUCAUUUUUUUAUUUUUUUAAUUCCAUUAUUUUGACCCGUGGCAGUGUAGUAUCUACUUGAAAGACUUAGUAUUUUUAUUUUAUUUUAUUUUAUUGGGUGCCGUUAUUAUUAUGCAGGGAGAUGUUUUGAAUCAGGAGAGUUUGGUUAAGGCGAUAAAACAAGUGGACGUGGUGAUAUCAACAGUUGGUCACACUUUAAUAGCCGAUCAGGUCAAGAUUAUUGCUGCCAUUAAAGAAGCCGGCAACGUUAAGGUAUGACAUAAUUAUAAAUAUCUUGGAUCAGGAUUGUGCACUUGCGCACACGUGGUGAUUUAUUAUUGGCGUGGAGCUCGUUGUAGACUAGAGCUCCCUGUUCCGCCAAUAAACACCCGCUACAUGCACAAUUGCGCCCUCAAGAUAAUUUAAUUAACUAAUUAAUUAUAAACACCUAUGGCGUGAAUGCAACUAAAAGUAGCUGAUGUUUGUAAAUUAUUUAUUAUUCAGAGAUUCUUCCCGUCGGAAUUUGGGAUUGAUGAUGAUCGAAUCCAGGGCGCCGUAGAGCCAGCAAAAUCAACGUAUGUCGUAAAGGCGAAAAUCCGCCGAGCCGUUGAGGCAGAAGGCAUUCCGUAUACUUAUGUAGCAUCGUACUGUUUGAAUGGCCACUUCCUUCCCAAUUUGUCGCAGCCUGAGGCCACUGCCCCCCCUAGGGAUAAGGUCGUCAUCUUAGGUGAUGGAAAUCCAAAAGGUAAAAUAAAUUAAUUAAGCUCAUUGUUUUUAAUAAGAUUGUUGAAAAUAACCAUGUUUAAGGCUCCGUUUGUUUGGUAUAUGUUGCGAUGUUAGUGUUAUGGCCUAUUGUAGAAUGGAUGGUCUAGCAACUUAGUGUCUAUUUGGUACUGUUGUUGGAGAUUUUAAGAUAGAGUUUUAAGUGAUUACCAGAUACUGAACUGCCAUAUCAUGGCUGCCACACAACAAUUUCAAACAGAGCCUAAAUAACUUCAUUGCAAAAUAGUUAAAUGAAUCUAACUUAGUUUGGUCAUUUGAUUUUCAGCUGUUUAUAACAAGGAAGAUGAUGUUGCAACCUUCACAAUCAAAGCGGUUGACGAUCCGAGAACCUUGAACAAAAACCUUUACAUUCAGCCUCCCGGCAAUAUUUAUUCGUUCAAUGAUCUUGUGUCUCUGUGGGAGAGAAAGAUUGGCAAAACCCUCGAAAGGGAGUAUGUUUCAGAAGAGCAGCUCCUAAAGAAUAUUCAAGGCUAGUUAAAACUCUCACUUCUAAAUGUUAUUAAAGAAAGCCGCGAAUUUUUGCCUUAUUGAUCCUGUCUUCUCCAAAAUGUUGCAGAAGCUGCACCUCCACUCGGGAGGUUGUUAUCAAUUUAUCACUCUGCUUUCGUGGAGGGAGUUCAAACGGACUUCAAGAUUGAACCAUCGUUUGGAGUUGAAGCCUCGCAGCUUUAUCCUGAUGUCAAGUACACUACAGUUGAUGAGUACCUCAAUCAGUUUGUGUAACCCUUCUCUGCUUCCAGCUGCAGCUUGCAGGAUCUUGGACUCUGGGUAAAUAAAUAAUGGGCUUGUUGCAAUCUUUGGUUUUUAUAUGUAAAAAUUAUGGUUGUUGGCCUUACUUUCUUCUGGUUGUCAAUGGAAUUUGUAAGACCAUUUUAUGUUUGCUAUGUCAGUGAUCAAAUGAAGUAGGCCAUGUACUUGAUCUGAGAAUAAUUAUAAAGCCAACAUGGUCAGGUGAGUGCGUCUGUGGGGCUUUUAUUAGGGUGCGUGUGUGAGGCUUCUGAGGGGCUUGUGAUAUGGGGUCUACAGCCCCUAAUGGGCACGCGACUGCGUGCACUAAAUGAAGUUAUUAUAAAAAUAAUUAUAGAGUCACCAAGGCAAAAAUUAAAAGUAAUUUGCCAAUAAAAAUAGUUAAAAGUAAUAAAAAGUAGGUAUUAUAUUUCAAAAAUCAAUUUUUCAUUAAUGUUUAUAAGAUUAAAUUUGUUCUUAUCUUUCCUUAAUAAACACAAAAAUUUAUCGUUUUGGACUAAUUAAAAUUUUAAAACUAGCUAACAAGCAAACCGCCAUUAAUUUUUUUUUUUCCAUUUCUUUAAUCAUUCUUUUUUCUCUUUUUGACCUUUUUCUUUUUCUUUUCUUCAGUCCUUAUUUUUCUUUUCUUUUUUGGUUUUCCUCUAAACUCUUUAAGAAAGGCUGCCAAGCCUUGAAAAUAUCUCAAAAAAUAAGAUUUUCUUUCUUAAGAUUAACAUUUUAACCACAAAAAUAAAACUCUAGUCCAAACAUUGAGCACUUACAAAUCAAACGAUAAAAACCUCUUAUUAGUACAUUAACCGUAAAAUAAAAAAGAAUUAUCACAAAUAUUGAAAUGUUGUUGUUUGAUGCUUGAGAUUCUUGAAAUGUAUGCAGAAUUCCGACAAUAUUUUGUUGAAGCAACUCUCGGAAACUUGUUUGUUGAGAUUGAUGAAGAGUCCAUGGCAAGUAACCAGGCAUAUUGCAAUCCUUGUAAUUAUUCUGACCGAGAACAAUAAAACAAAAAGUGAAAACUGAAGAAAAUGAUAAGAAAACAAUAGAAUAAUAAUAUUAAAAACUCGCUAAUCUUGCCCAAUUUUUUUUUUUUUUGGAUAAUGUUCAGCGUAUACUAGAAUCUUUUAGAGCAGAAGCAAAACAGCAACAACUUUUCAAGAAAAGAAAAAAAAAAAGAAUUAUUAAAGAAAAUGGAAAAAAGAAUUAACGGCAGUUUAUUUGAUAGCUUUUAGAUAGCCAAAACCGGUGAGUUUUUGUGUUUUAAUAAGGAUAGUUAGGAAUAAAUUUAAUCCUCUCUAUAGAAUCAUUUAGUUACUAUGUGUCAAAAUCUCCUGUAAAGAAUAGGAAAAAUUAAAUUAGAAGAGGAUCCAAAUCAGGACUUGACUAGCUUACAGAAUCUGUAAGCUACGGACUGCAGCAUCAGCCGUUGGAUGUGGUUGGAUGUGGAGUGAGAAAUUAAACAAUAGAAGAUCGGAUGGUGGGAUGACGGGAGAUGUUUGUUACAGAAUCUGUACCAUAGACAGGUCCUCCAAAUCAUCAACAUCUUGGAAUAAACAAAAGAAUCUAAACAAAAGAAACUCGUUUUGCGUGUGAACCAGUUCAAGAUAAAGAGCAGACUAUUGGAAAGAGACAAAUACUACAAGAAUAACAAAACAUUCUACAGUUACUACAUAAGCCUGCAACAAUUAAUUAUUAACUCAAGAUUUAUUACACUUUUUCUUUAAUUUGACAAAGAAACCAAAAAUGAAAUAAAAUUGACAACAGCAAUGAUAUGCUUACAACAAUGAGUAUGAAACUUAGUACAACAAGGACCUUUUUGCUAAUUUUUUCAAAUUUUUAUGAUAUUUUAGAAUUUAUGGGUUUUAUUGAUUUUGAUAAAUUGGAGCAUUUCUCCAUUCAUCUUUUCUGCAUCUAUCCCUAAAUUUCUUAUCUUUGUAAAGUUUUAACUAUGUCUUUGUAAAGUUCUAAAUGAUUAUCUCGUUCAUAGAGAUCUAUAGUUAAAUUAAUUCUUGUAUUUAUAAUCAUUUGUCUCCUUUGAGACAUAGACCAAAUUUUUUCUUCUAACAUUCCUAUGUAUAUUCCUAAGCUAUAUUUCCAGCUUAGGUACAUCUUAUCUAGGAUUUCACAAAUAAAUUGUAAUUUGAGAUCUGCAUCUUGAAUCAACAUCACCAUAUUAUUAUUAUUAUUAUUAUUAUUAUUAUUAUCCAUUGUUUUAUACUCGAUUUUGGGUUCUAUUACUAGUCGCACUUGUCUUGGAUUAUUUCAAGGCUAGAUAGAAUUGAUUCUAUUAAUGCUAUCCUGUUUCCUUCUUCAAAUGAAUCGAAUAUUUUUGGAUCAAUAAUUCUUUUCAUUUCUUCAUACAAGUGUUUGCUUGUAAUUAAUCUAGUUUUAACUAUGGAAAUUGUAUAAGCAACUUGAUAUUCUUGACUAAAGUCUAGAUGAUCAAUUGCGUCUAGAAAUUUAUUAACAGAUCUUUCCAUUUUUAUGAAAUUGAGUUACUUUUAUCACUUCCUAUCUUAUAACAUUUCAGAAUACAAACAAGGCCCAACAUGCUUCCAUUUGUUGCUAAAAUAAAAGAAUAGAGUUCAAGAUUACUAACCAGUGUACAUUUCUCGGAAUUCUAAGAUAGAUUCACUAAUUGCCUCCAACCAUAGAGAGGUCUAUGGUUAACUCCGCCAUAGCUCCACACAUCAUAUAAGAUCACUUCAACGACUGUUACAUAGGCCCAACGCAACAUAUAGCAAACGGGCCUAAAAGAAUAUGUCUAAGUGAUUUGCUUACAGCUGUCUCUGGAAGAGUGCUUAGUAGUAGAAAAUCUUCUUCCUUUAGCACAAGUAUUGGCAUGUAAGGUUCUUGGUUAUUUUCUAAGAGUAUAUAAGAUAUCUGGAAGAUGACAAUUUCGCUCAAAAGAGUUUUAUUUAUUUCAUCAUUGAAAUUAUUUACAGAGGAUGGUUACAGAGAAUACAGGUGUAGGUGUAGGUGUAGGUGUAGGUGUAGGUGUAGGUGAAGGUUAGGCAUGUGAUGUCCUUCCCUUCUUACAUGUUUCUAUUUAUAAUCUUAAAUAGAUAAGGUUAUCUCUUUUACAUGACACUUGUUUAAUUCUCUUGGUGGAUUGUGGAUUCUUUCCUGAUAAGGUGACCCUUCUUCUUUUUAUCAUUAAAGACAGUGGUUGUCUUCUUUUCCUGGUGGUAGACAGCCUUUAUCUGGUUGUAGUGUGCUUUAUCUUUUUGGAAUCUUUCUUUUUGAAUUAUUAAUGCUUUUAGGAUAGCACCUUUUAUCUUUUCCAAUGGUUCCUGUCACAUGCCAAGUAUCAAAUCUUCCUCUAGUGACAUGUCUUCCCCACUAGAAUCCUUUUUUGAUCCUUCGUAGCAGUAGCCACAUGAUGACUGAUGUUUUAGCACCUUGCAUACCUCGUGAUGUGUCAGUAAGCUGGAUUCCACGAGAUUUUCAUAUAUUGCCUUUUUCUUUUUUGAUAUGGCCUGUCUGGCUAAAAUGCUUUCUUUUCUACUUAUAGAAAAGAUUAUAUGCUCCUUUGUGGCUUCGUGGAGCCAUAUUUUUUCCUCACUUAUCCUCUCAAGAGAUUCAUAGAGGACUUUCAUUCCUACGGCUCUUUUGCUGGUGAGAGCUUUGGGUUCGAAAAAUUCAGGAUCAUAAUCAUUAUAGACUUGAUCUAUAUCAAUAGUUGGACUAACUUUUUGCUGCUAAUUCUAACUUAAAUCAUGUGCUGUGCUACCACUUGUUUUCACCGUAUUAAGGGCAAGCAGUGAGGAUCUUGAUAAAAAUUAGUUCUUUUGUUUUGGAUAUCCUUUUGUGGUCAUUAACAGCCUCUGUAUUUUUUUCUAGGAGCUCUUUUAUUUUCCUACAAUCAUCACGGACAUAAACAAGGUUAAGAAAACCGUAUUCAAACAUGUCUUUUAUCAAUUUUGGAUAAGCUCCUAGCACAAAUUUUAUCCUUGGGUAUAACCCUGAAUGAUAUGGUAUUAUAGUCUGGUUAUGAUGAAUCACAUAAGUUAUUUUACCAAUUCUUUUAUAAUUAUAAGCGUUGUCGCUUCCUAAUGGAUUUUUAACCAUAGGAACAGACUGUCCGCUUUUAUUAUAUUGGGGCCUUAAGCUCACUGAAGACCUUUGAGAUUCUUCUUUCUUCAUAUAUUAUUCUUUGAGAUCAUUGAUUGUGAGAAAUUUCUCUAGAUGUGUGACCUUUGAGUUCUGUGAAGAACUCUGGGCAAUCUGAUCCUUAGUUUGAUCCUUAAAAUGGACCUUUUUUUAGCAUAUUACUAAUAGAUUGUUAUGAAAUUUGGACUUCUGGAUGAUUUUGCAAACUUUUCUAUAGGCAAAGUUUGCUCAAUUCUUCAUGGGCAUCAUCUAUCAUGGCAAGCCUAUUAUAAAUUAUACCAUUGCCUUUGAGAAGCAAUUCUUGACCUUCAGAGCACAUUAUUAUGCCCUUAAUUAUUUUGGAAAGACCCUUCUCCAUUGUAUUCUCGGCUAAGAAAAUUUGCAAUAGAAUUGUUAGAUCCUUUAAUAUAUUCAAUUUCAAAAUCAUAUUCAGCAAAAAAACCGUUGCCAUUUAAUUAAUCUUUUAUAUUAAGGGAGAUUAGGCAAUUUAUUAAAUAUAAAUCCUUUAACUCGAGUGUUAUCAGAUCUUACCUUGAAUUUCUUUGGUAACAAAAAAAAGUAAAUUUAGCUAUUCCAUUUUUAAUAGUUAACAGUUCAUUUUCAUUACUAUGAUAAUUCUUCUAUGCGGGUUUGAAUGUUCUGGUGGCAUAUCUACAAAUCUUUUCUUGAUCUGUUUUUAAGACUACACCCCAGUAAUUAUCUGAAGCAUCGGUCUCAAGAAUUAAAUUAUCACUAGAAGUAGGGAAUCCUAAUCUUGGAAGAUUUUUACAUUUUUCUUUCGAUUUUUUUACUACUUUGGUAUGGAGAUCUUUCCAUGAUUUAGUAUUAUUCUUUUUUAAUAAUCCUUGUAAAGAUUGUCUUUCUUUAGCUAAGUUUUCUAUGAAACCUUCAGCAUAAUUAAGAUAUCCUAAAAAUAUUUGAAUUUGUUCUUUAGAUUCUAAUUUAUUUGGGAAUAGAUAUAUUUUCCAAAAAUAUGAGGUUGCAUCUCAAUUCCUGUUUCAUCUAUUAUUAACCCUAGAAAUUCUAUCUUGAGUUUCAUUAUUUCAGCUUUCUUUUUAGGGAGUAAUAUUCCAUGUUUCUUGCAUUUCUCUGCAAAAGAAACGAGAUGAUUAAUAAGAUAUAUCUUAUUAUCUGAAAAUAUAAAAAUAUCAUCUAAAUAAACAAUGUAGAAUUCAUGAAAUUCUUUGAAGAUUUGAUCCAUCCUUCUUUCAAAUAUUUUUGGUGCAUUUUUCAAUCCAAAAGGCAUUACAAUCCAUUCAUAUUAUCCUUGAGGUGUACUAAAGGCAGUAAGUGGUAUACUUUCUACUUUAAGUUUGAUAUGUCAAAAUCCAGAUUUGCAAUCAAACUUGCUAAAUGUCUUUUUAUCGGUCACGGAGAUAAUUAAUGUAUCUUUAUAAGGUAAAAAAUAUCCAUUGAAUUUGGUAUAUUUAUUUAAUUCUUUGUAGUUAAUAACCAUGCGAGCUUUUCCUCAUUUAAUUUCUACAUGAUUUCUAACCAUAAAGGCUGGACUACUAUGAGGACUUUUAGAUUUCAAAUAAUCUUAAGUUCUAAUAACUCUUCAAUUUUUUUUAUCAAAUUCUUGUCCAUGUUCUUGCCCAUCUCUCAUAGGCUUAACUCUUAUGAUACCAUUUAGAUCUGUUAAUUCGAUCUUAGCAUAUGUUUAAUCAAUUUCUCAUAAUUGAAUUGGGUUUUCACCAAAAUUUUUAUCAAGUUUUUCUAAAAUUUUUUCAUAGUCUAACAUGAUUUGAAUGAUUUUUAUAGUGUAAUCAACACACUGACUGUGUCGAAAAUGUAAUUUUUGAGUUGUGCGCCUAACAAGGUUAUAAAUUCUCGGGGUAGUAAUGGAAUGAUUACAUGGUGUUUUGAGAGUAAUGGCUUCAUUAGUCAUUAUAUAAAUGAAUUGACGAAGGAAAUUAACUCCUAAAAGUAUAUAUGUUCCCAUAUGAUCAUAAGACCAGAAUAUAGGGAUACUUAAGAUGUAAUCUUCGAUUUGGAUUAAAGUCUUAAUCCUACAAGUCCCUAAGGUGAUCUGUUCAUCAUUUGUUCCUUAUCCUUUUAAAGGCUUAUAAUCUUUCCAAUAUGGUUUUGGAUAAAUCCUAGAACUGGCAAAACUAACUCCUAAACCAGUAUCGAUUAAAGCAUAAAACCAUUCCAGUUUAUGUUUAUAAUAUGGUAUAAUCACUUUUAUAUAAAUUAUAAAAGGAUUAGACAUAUCUUGAUAUGGUUUGCUUAAUUCCUUCAAUUGUUAUACUUAUUUCUCUAUCUCCUGUACAAUAAGGAGAGAAAUUCUAAAGAAAGUUCAUCCCUAAUAAUAAAGGAUUUAUUUCUGUUUCAUAAUAUGGUUCUAUGAAAAAAGGAAAGAUGAAUUUUGUUCCUUUUAUUUUUAAUGGUAUUUUACAAUAUUUUCUUAAUGUCUUUCUUUCUCUAUUAAAUCCUACAUAAGUAUGAGGUUCAAUUAGAAUUUUUCUUUCUAAAUAUUUAAUCAUUUUAGCAUCUACAUAAGAUUUUGUAGCUCAUGUAUCAAGGAUAGCAAAAGUCUCGUGCCAUGAUUUUCCAUUAUUAUAGUCAAUCUUAAUUUUUAGAUUUUGAUUAUUUUUUCUAAUUGUGGCUAAUAUUUCAUGUGAUGGUGGUGUCACAAGAUGACUACAUCUAGUAAAACUUUGGGUUCCUCUGAAUUUUGGUUCUCUUUUGGGUAUAGAGAAUGAUCUUUUAUGUCUUAUAAUGAUUCUUCCUUCUGGAGUAUAUUCUAUAGAUUUAGUAGUAUUUCCUUUAAUCAGAGUAGGUUGACUACUUAGAUUCAUUUUCCAUUCUUAUGAUAAAUAUAUUUCUCUCUGGAUUUCAGGAUAUUUUAUAUUUCUAACUUUACUAAAUAAUUUAUCUAUUUCAAUAAAAUAUUUAUUAGCAAACAUUUCACUAUUUGCUGAAUUUGUUAAUGCAUAUUUUAUGGCAUACAUUAUGCUAUAUGGAUAAGACCCCUCAUGCAUUAUAUCAAAGUAUUUAAAAUCAUGACAUAAGGUUAAUGUUUUAUUUAUAUUUCUAUCCCUAAGACUUAUAGAAUAUUUAGGAUAUAUCUUAAAUAUCAAUUUUUUAUAACUCAAGUUUCCUUGUAUUAUUCUAGGGACUGCAUGUUUUCGAUCUUGUAUUCUAUUAUCUAGUACUGCUAAAAUUAUUGGACUAUCUAUUCCUUCCCGAAAAUGAGCUUUUAUCAUAAACUGAAUUCCUCCAAUAUGAUCAUAUCCAAUUUUGGGUCUAUUGCUAGAUUUUAUCUUACUGAUUUUAUCUUCUAUAUCAGUCUUUAAUAAUAAUGGUAUAUUUGUAUUUCCCUUAGCAUACCUAAUUUCAAUAUGUUCUUCUCACACAGUAGCACUGAAAUACAUAACAUUUUUUCUUUUAAUCAUGGUGGCAAUUCCUAGAGCUAACUUAUUGACUGAAGUCAAGGAUGAUUCUAAUCAUUUUUUUGUUAAUCUUGAGGUAUUGUUUUUUUUUUUUAUCAAAGAUUAAUUCUUUGUUAAAAGAACCUUGUUCUUCUAAUUCUUCAUCUUGAUAUAAAUGCUUAUUAUCUAAUUCUUCUAUACUCAUUCCAAAUAUGAUUUUGAAUCUGAGCUACUUAAAGUUUCUUCAGAAAGAUAAUAUAUGCUAUCACUUUCACUAAUACCUUCACUAUCUGUGAUUAAUUCUAAAUCAUUAAAAUCCUCAAACAUUUUUAUAUUUUCUUUUUUCUUUUUAGGACAUUCAUUUGUAUAAUGCCCUUCUUCAUUACAUAACCACCACUUGCAUUCUUUAACUACAUUGGUUUUAAAUCUUCUUUUAAAUUUAUUUUUCUUGUAGAAUUUCUUCUUAUAUUUAUUUUUCUUGUAAUAUUUCUUGUUGCCUUUAAAGAAUCUCUUCUUUUUGAAUUUAUUCCUAUAUUUAUAAGUUUUAUCUGAACAUCCAAAUCUUGGUGGAUCUUCUAACUUAGAGCAAAACAAUCCUUGAUUUAGCCUUUUCAUAAGUCUGUUAUCUCUUAUUUCAGCACACCAUUCACUCAUUCUAUUUCGAGCAAACCUAAUCUUAUUUCCUAAGGUAUCAGUCUCUGUUGUAUCUUCAUAUUUGUUGUUAUAUUCUAGCAUAAUCCUUUUCUCCCAUGGGUCUGGUAUCCUUAUAAAAUAUAGAUCUUAGUAAUAGCAUAUGCUACUUUCAUCUAAUUCACAUUUAUAAUAUAAUUCUUCAAAGCUACACGUGUAUUCUUCUAAAUAACAUAUAUUACAUAUUUCAAGCCUUGUUAGUUUUAUUACAUUUUCCAUCUUUUUUUCACUUUAUUUCUUAUUGAAAACCAGUUUCUCAAUCUUCUCCUAGGAAUUUUUUUCUUAUUUCAUUUUCAAAUCUAUUUAAAACUUGAUCCAAGCUUUCAUUUUGAUUAUUAUUUUCUCCAUACAAUAUUUUAUUUUUGUUAUUAUCGUUUAGUCCCAUAAACGAAUGUGACACUAUUCCUACAAAUGAAGUUUUAAGGAAUUCUAUACUAUUAUUCCUAUCUAUUUUGUUAAAUACAAAUGCCGUUUUCAUAGAUUUAACCCAAGCGAUAAUCGUUUUAUCUCUAUCUUUGACAUAGUCUAAAUCUAACCAUACUCCAUCAUGGUUGAUUGGUCUCUCUCUAUAUUUUCCUGGAGUUUUAUAAUUUUUUUAGGCUUGUUAACCCUAAAAUAUUGAUGUUGUGAUCUUUCAUGAGCUAGUAUUUCUUCUCUAGUAUAGGAAGCUCUAUUACUAGAUUCUCCUUGUUAAAAAACCGUUGGUUUUGAUUCAUUCAUUUUUAAUUGUUCUAUUCUAUUUUCAAUAUCUCAUAAGUUAAUGAGUACAUCCUCUUCCUCUUCGGAUUUAGAUUCUUCAUUGGAUAUUUCUGGAUUGUAUAAUUCUUUUAAUCCAUUGUCUACAUUUUCACUUAGCAUCCUUAAACUUAUUAAUUUUUUAUCUUAGUUUUUUGUUAAAUAUUGUCUAGAUAUUGCUAUCAUUUCUUUAUCUUUCUUUUCGUUGUAGUAAAUUAUGGUGUCUUGUAAGGUUUUAUUUUUUUUUCUUGAAUUACCAUGAGUAAUUCUUCCAUAUUGUUAUUUAUCUUUUGUAUUUCAAUCCUUUUGUAGUUUUCUAUGAAAAAUUAUUUCUAUACACCUCUCUCCUAAUUCUAAAUAGGAGAAUAGGAUCGAUGUUUAAAUUUCUAUUCUUUAUUAUUUUGAGUUCUCCAAUUCUAAAUUCAUGAGCUCUAGAUAAAUAAAAUUGUUCUAAUUGUUUAUCAUCUAAUAUCUCAAGUUUUGAAUAAUAAUAUUGUUUAUGUUUAGUUAUGUUAUCCUUUAUAGUAUUACUAUCUACCAUUAGAUUAUAUCCCCUAUUAUUAAUAAAAUAAACAAUUGUUUCUUCCAUUUUUAUAUUUUGAACCAAAAAUCUGGUUCUGAUACCGUUUUUGCAGACAAUUUUCAAUCCUAAGAUCCAAGUAAGGAUGUAAAUGAUUAAUCUUUAAAAUCUUAUGAAUAUUUUACAAUUUUGCUUUUUUAAAACACACAGUUUUAUGCUAGGUGUUGUGCAAUCUUUUGUAAAAAUUCAUGAACCAAUACUAUAUUGACUUCUCCUAAAAUGCAUAGGUUUGUUAUGAAAUUCUAAGUGUACAACCCAAAAAGUGGGGUGAAUUGGGUUUUUAAAAAUUUAAGCAAUUAUAACCACACAAAAAUUUCAAUUAAUGUCUUAUUUGAUUCAAUAACAAUAAUUUUAACAAUGAAUAAAGUAAAGAGAUGAGGGAGAAGAGAGCAAACAUGAGAUUUUUACAUGGUUCAGCAAAACCUGCCUACGUUGACGCCUCCAAGCUCACUAUGCUUGAAGAUUUCACUAUCCAAGCAUUACAACCCUAAGGCUUCAAGAUGCUUACAAUUGAUUUCUAAGGUUUCCAUGGACCUUUACAUCCAGAGGUUCUCUCAAACCUCUUAACCAAGUGUUUCUCACACUUACAACCACUUAAUUGUGAUAUUGAAAAAAAGUUACACAAAUUUUCCACUCACACAAUAUAUGUGUUUACAACUAAAAGCCUAGAGUGUGUUUCAAUGAAAGAAUAAAAACAUUUAAGCUCAAGACAGAUUAAACAUGCAAAAGUAAGCUCAAUGCCAAUUUUUGAAUUCGUUAUUGAUUGAAUAUGAUUAAUCCUUUUGAUAGUUGGAGCUGAAAACUAGCCGUUAUUGACUUUCUGCACAAGGUCGGAUCAUCGUUAAUACUUAUCGGACUGCUGUUUUGACUUGAUCAAGUUACCGUUAGGCGAAAAUCUAAAUUUUCGGAUCACCAUUUUCGAGACAUUGAAUUGUUGUUAGUUUCUAGUAACAUUGCGAGAAAAUAGUUGGCUUACCGUUUUCAAAAUGUCAUAUCGUCGUUAGUUUCCAAAUCCAUUCGAUGUCGGUUAGCCAUUUGCUACAUUAACUGCUACAUUGAAACUAUUUUUUAAAAUUAUAUUUUUGCCAUGCUUUCUAUAAUUAUACUGUAGCCCAAAUCUUCAUAAUACUUUACAAAUAGGUCCAUUUUCAGAGUUUCAAAACAUACUUUUUAUUUCCAAAACUUUAUGAAAUUAUACUAUAACCCAAAAAUAUAUAAAAUAUUUCAAAUAGGUUCAUUUCUAGAAUUUUAAAACAAUACUUGUUGAUUUCAAAGUUCUCAAAACUUUUUAAAUUUAGAGCAUUAACUUCAAAAUAACCAAUUUCAUAAAAUCAUUUUUUUCAUUAAGAUUUAUGAAAAAUGACUUGAGCUUUUAAAUGCUUAAGCAUGCAUAUAUUUAAUCAUACUAGCUUUACAAGAAAUGUAACAAGAGAAAUCACCUAAGCUAGUACCUCUAAUGCUUGUUCUUGACUUAGUGAGCUUUUUACCUUCGUCUAUUUGAGUGCCUUGAACUUGAUCACACACACACACACACACACACACACACACACACACACACACAUAUAUAUAUAUAUAUAUAUAUAUAUAUAUAUAUAUAUAUAUAUCAUUUUAUCCUUUUAUCCUUAACACGUGGUUUGUUAUUAUCAAAACCCAAGUUCGUACAACCGCUUAGGCCAACAUGUUACUCCCAAUCAAUUGACUUCUGACAUGACUACUUCCAAAAUGGCUAGUACCAAAAGGGAAUCCUUCUGGGAUGAGAAUUGAAAAACAUGCCUCUUCUAGCACUAAAAUUACUCCUUCCACCUAUAUUUCCACUAUAAUGUCCUUAAAAUCCUCCGGCAUAUCCACCUCUUUUAGUAUUGCCUCCUAUUUGUGCAUGAUAGUAAUUAAUUAUGCCAUAGUUAUUAUGGUUAGCAAAGUUAGCACAAUUUGCAUUGAAUAUGUGUUUUUCAUUAUGACUUUGUUCAAGUCUUGCCUCUUGAGUAAGCAAUAGAGCAUACGCACCAUCAUAAUAUAACUUGCUAGCAGUAAUAAAAGUAGAUAAAUGCAGAUGGCUAGCUCCAAAACUAUUGAGAAUUUGUUAAACAUAUCUUUAUCAGAAAUAGGACUACCAACACAUGUCAAUUUAUCUGCUAUUUAUUUAAUCUUUAAGCAAUACUCUUCUAUGCUUAGUGACUUUUUUUCUCAAAGCAUUCAUCUCAUAUCUCAUUUGAAGAAUCCUACCCUCAUAAUGUUGCCUAAACUUUUUCUGUAAUGUUUUUCAUACAUCAAGUAAGGUGUUAUAAGAAUGAACAAGACCGAGAAUACCUUCAGUGAUAGAGCUGAGUAACUAGCUAAGUAAUGUGUGAUCUUGAGAUCUCCAAACAAUGAACUCAGGAUUUUCAAUCUGUUAAGUAGAUGCAGCAACUGCUCUAGCAUAGCUGAUGAAUCAAUGAAUUGAUUUGGUGCUUCAUUUUCUCUAGUUAUGUAUCCUUCGGUUUCCUCUUAUAAAAGCUAGAACUUGAUUUUGCCACAGCAUGUAAUUUGAUCAAUCGAAUGUGAUUGGAGUGAUGAAACAGAAUGUUGUUUGCAUUGAUUGAUUUGUAGAGAUUGCAAUUGAAUUUGUGCUUACAUUGCUUGAGCUUGCCAUUUUGGCUCAGAUACCAUGAAUAAAUUAUUGGAAGUUGAGUUAUAGUUGCUGUUUAACAGCUGAGAAAAUAGAGGAAAAUUCUCUGGAAAUUCUAAAUGUUUCCUAUUGAGCAAACGAAAGAUUAACAUACUAUAUAUAUACAAGUUUCUAAAUUGUUUCUAGCUAAUUUACAGUACAGCUAAUCAAUAGAUUUGAUCCAAAGUAAAACUAAUUAGUUUCACACAUAAGGAGCACGUGAAUCCAUCAUCGUUGCAUAAUCGAACAUGUUGACUUAGCUGCUGACUUGGCAUUGACAGCUGAUUUGCUUCUUUUUUGUAACUCUGGAUAGUGUGCUUUCUUCACAAGUUUCCCCAAAUCUCCAUUAUGUACAGCUUCUGCAAAAAUUUCCUAACCAAACCAUUUAUUUGUAAUUUCCUCUUGUGUUGGCCCUAUGCCAUCAUCAAGUGGUACCGUGAGAGGAUUUCCAUCUAGAUUACCCUGAUCUUUGUCUGAAUCAUAACUAGUAUGCAUAGUGUUUUCAUCCUCAUCACCCUGCGCAGCCAAAACAAAAUGCUUAACAUUACAUAUACAGUAAAACCUCUCUAUAGUCAUAUUGUUGGGAUUAAACUAAUUUUAUUAAUAUGAAGAUGUUAUAAACUUAAUGGAAAUUCAGUGACAAAUCUAUUGAUUAGCUGUGCUACUUUGAUAAUUAAUUAAUGAAGCAUGUCAAAUCUAAUGCAUUGACAUUGAUAAAAGAGGUAAACAUAUAAUUUAAAAAACUAGUACUUAUAUCUAUCAUCUGUGUAGUAUUGGGAACAUGCAAAGUCUUCUUAUUGAAAAUCUAAAGAAUAAAUUAUUAUCCAAAAUAAUUUCAGAAAAAUAUUAUAUUUCAUCUUAAAUCUUUCAUGUAACAUAGCAAAUUUUUUUUUUUUUUGCUCAAUAUACAUAUUAGUAAUACUGUGUGGAUGCGUGUUCCUUAAGAUAUGCUCUAUAAAAGUUGUUAACUUAUUACAAUGUGAAGUUUGUUCUUAUUUAUAAUUGGCUUAAAGCAGGAAUAAGAUUUUUUGUGACUAUUGGACGUUGUUCUUAUAAAAUGUAUCACUACAGAGAGAUUUUAUUAUAAUUCUAAACCGAGAAAAGAAAGUGUAAUCCUAAUAAAUCACCAUCGAUUAGAGCUAUAAUGAAUUAAGCUUUACAAAGAAGAAGAAGAAAGAUUACAAUGUGAAGGCAACAAGAAUCAUGACAAAGUGAGAAAAAGAGAGGCCACAUAAGCCCCAAGGGAAAUUGAGAUUUUAUAACACAGCCUAAUUGCAGAAAGCAUAGGCGAAAAACAGGUGCUUGAUUGCAAACAUGCACACGCGCGCGCGCACACACAAUUUGACCACAAAGACCGCAUACCUUUGAGAGUUGGUCCUCUGGGGCAUAGGCAUUUUUCGCACGUUUUCGUGCUUCCUCCUUUUAUGGCCACGUAGUUUUCGUAAGCUUGAUCAAGAAACUCCUCCAAUUGUUCAUCAUACCUAACACCAAAAAAAUGUCAUAAGAUCACAAAGGCAUAAGUUGAUAGAUAUAUUUGUCAAGAUAAUGCGACAGAAGAUAUAGGUAGAAAAGAAUUACUUUCUGCAUUCUUUAUCAGAGUCACUGUCACUGGACAAUUGCUCUUGAGUGUCUCUAUCGGGUCUCUCAUCUUCACAGCCCUCUGCAGUAGCAUUCUCAUCAUCAUCAUCAUAUUCAACAGCAGCAAGAUCUUUUUUACCCUAAACCGAUCAUUCAAGUUUAUAAAAGAAUGAGAUACUUGCCUUAGACCACACUUUUGAAUUGGAAAAAACUAAUAAAUCAAAAUUGCAACUAAUAUUGUCCUACCCAGCCAUUUUUCAUUUAUCCUGAUGUCAAGUACACUACAAUCGAUGAGUACCUCAGUCAGUUUGCGUAACCCUUCUCUGUUGAGUUGUAGCUUGCAGGAUAUUGGGAAAUAAAUAAUUGGCUUGUUGCCAUCUUUGGUUUGUAUCUGUAAACAUUAUGGUUGUUGGCCUUACCUUCUUUUGGUUUUCUAUGGAAUUUGUAGCACCAUAUUUUGUCCACUAUGUCAGUACACCAGUGAUUAAACAAAGUAGUCUCAUGUGCUUGAUCUAAAAAUAAUUAUAAAGUCACCAUGUGGUUGAUCUAAAGAUAAUUAUAAAGUCACAAACACAGAAAAAUUAAAAGUAAUUCAUAAACAUUUGUCAUGUGAAAUUUACUUAAUGGAAGAGAAAUUCUAGGAAACAACUUUAUGGUGAGAAAACUCUAAAAAUCAAACCGAAAGAUAUAUAAUAAAUAAUUUUAUAAGAAUUAGGCUAUGUUUCAAAUAAUAUCACAUAUAGUAAAUUUAUGAGUUGUCGCUCAUCAUAACUCAAUUGUUUCACAUAUUGUAAUUCUUUAAUUUUGAAUAACAACAUAUGUUUCAUAAGAUUUAAAAUGGUAUGACUCAUUUUAUAAUAUUUUUAACUGAAUUGAAAUUCUGCAACUAUAAAAAUUGAAAAGAAUGAACUUGGCGGUAUUACGCUUAUAGUAUUGUUUCUUAUGGUGAACCAAAAGCAAGCCAAAAUUACGCUUACAUCAUCUUACUCUACCGUAAAACUUAUUUAUAAUCAUAACGGUAACACUAAAUUAAUUUUAUUACUGUGAGAGUUUAAUAUUUAAUAGAGGUGUAGUUACAAAAAUUAUUAUUUUAACUUAAUUAUUUUUUGUGCAAGUGAUAUAGCGAUAAAAUAUGCACUAUAUUAAUAACUAAUUAAUACAGCAUGUCAAAUUCAAUGUACUAACAAUGAUGAAAAAGAUAGGCAUAGUUUGAAAAAAACUAGUACAUAUAUCUUUAUAGUGCUGGAAUUAUGUAAAAUCAUCUUGAAAGUCUAAAGAAUAAAUGAUUGUACAAAAUAAUUUUAGAAAAAUAUUUUACUUCAUCUUAAACCUUUAACAUAAUAAGGGAUAUAUUUUUUACAAUAUACCGAUAAUUAUUACUAUUAGAGGUAACUUUCUUAAAACCGGAUUUAAAAAAAUUAUAAUUUAUCAUAAUAUAGAGUUUAUUCUUAUUUAUAAUUAUUAGGCUUGAUAAUCGACUGGGUCGUGUUUGGGCCAUGCCAAGCUCUAGCCCAACUAGGGGUGGCAAAACGAAUAAACGAAUCGAAUUUGAAUCGAAUCGUAAACGAAUUGGGUCAAAAUUAUAUGGAUUCGGAUUCGAUUCGUUUAUUAAACGAAUUGAAAUUUCAGGAUUCAGAUUCGAUUCGGUUAUUAAACAAAUAUUCGGUUCAAUUCGUUUAAUUCGUUUAAUAGAAUUGAUAAACGAAUCGAAUCGAAUCCGGAUUCGUUUAUUAUUCGCUUAUCCUUUACGAAUCCAUAACGAAUCGAAUCGAAUCAGGAUUCGUUUACAAUUCAUUUAGAAAAAUAUAAUUAAUAAACAAAAUUAAGCAAAAAAAACACAAAUUUAAUAUCCCACAACAAAAUACAAAUAAUUCAAAUCAUAUUAUACAGUCAUCCAAAUACUAAAUUACAAAUCCUUAAUAUUACAAAUAACAAUAAUUCAAAUUCAAAUUAUAAAGAAAUGUAAUUUCUUUAAUUCUCUUCAUUUGUCUUUGUCGCCUUGAAAACAAAAAUCCUACACCAAAAAGUAAAUAAAAUGUUAUUAACAUGCUGCAAUAUUGAUAAUAGUCAUUGUAAAAUUUCAAAAAUCAAAUAUAUAGCAAAUUUGUAGCAUUUUCAAGAAAAUAAUAAUUAAACAAGAUAAAAACUUUACCUACCACACUCACACACUGUCAUUUGGAUCAUUGGCACUCUCUGCAGAUGGAGCACAAUUAGUGCUCAUGUUCAUAAUGUUUUGAGUAAGUUGGUCCACAGUGACAUCCAAAUUUUCUACAAUAAUUUUAUAAAAAUAAAUCUUAAUUAGAAACAAUUGCACAUAAUAUUAUAAAAGAAAAGUAAAUAAAUUUUAUGAGCAAGUUUUACCAAUCUCUCCAAACUUCCAAUCUCUAGUAGUAAUAAUUGCUUGAACUAUCUCUAGUAGUAAUAAUUACUUGAACUGUCUCUGGCUUCAAUACACUUCAAAAUUGAUCAAGAACUCAACCGCCAAACAACAACAAAACAACAGUAAAACAGCAACAAAAUAGCAGCAAAAUAGUAGUAAAACAACAACAAAAUAUCAGUAAAAUAGCAGUAAAACAACAACAAAAUAGUGGAAAAAUAACAAAAAAAAUGGUAGCGAAACAGCAGCCAAACAACAGCAGUAAAACAGCAGCGAAACAGCAGUAAAACGACAGUAAAAUAGCAGUAAAUCAGCAACAAAACAACAGCAAAACAGUAAUAAAACAGCAACAAAACAGCAACAAAACAACAGCAAAACGGUAAUAAAACAGCAAUAAAAGGCAAAUUUUCAGUGGUGUACCGUGAUGGUGGGUAGUUAGCGCGGCGGGAAGUGGUGCUGGGGAUGAAAACCUUCAAAUUUUAAAAAGCUUUCAAAUAAAUUUAAGGAUAAAAAAGUAAUUUAAUUAAACGAAUAAUAAACUAAUCGACCCGUAUUCGAUUGGUUUAUGACCGAUUUAUUAAACGAAUAAACGAAUCAAAAUUUUCAAACCUGCAUUCGAUUCGUUUAAUUAACGAAUCGAAUCGAAUUCACCCAUUUAUUAAACGAAUCAAUUUUUUCAAACUCAAACCCAUUUAAUUUGCAUCGAAUCGAAUCAAAUAAACGAAUCCUGACCCAUAUUGCCACCCCUGCCCAACCCUAUGAUUAAAAUGAAGGACUCUAAUACUAAAAAGCUUGACCCUUCAAACUAAAGAACAACCUGGCUUUAAUAAUUUUUUUAUAUUUUAUUUUUUUUUUUAAGAAUAUGACUCCUAUUCUUCAUUCUUUAGUAAUAUUAUUAUUAUUAUUAUUGUUCCUUUUUUUUGUUGGAUUUGUUUGUAAGGAAUUUAAUAAAUUAUUUUUUAUUUAACUUAACAACAAUAGAACGUUUAACAAUCUAACAAAAUUAAUAUAUUAACCAAGCAAUAGGUAAAUAAAUCAAAUACAAAAUAACAAAAUUAAUAUGAAAUAGAGAUAAAUAUCCCUAAAGUGUAGUUGUGACCAUCUAUGUGUAUGUGUGUUUAAUAAUAUUUUUAUUUUAAAAAUUAAUUUAAAGAUCAAGAGUUGAGUUAAAACAUUUUGGUAAAACUUUAACCCUAACCCAAAUGUAAUUAGGUCCUGAUUCCUUAAGCCCUAACCCAACGUUUAACCUUUCAAAUUCGAGUCAAAACCAUUAAAAUUAAGAUCGAAUCAAUCAAGUCGAGGGUCGGAUAAAACCUUUUUGUCAUCCUAAAAAUUACCCUAAAUUAAAAUCAAAAUUUUUUAAAAUUAUAUAAAAAUUAUUCUUAUACACAGUAACAAUAUACGACCCAACAAGAAAUGAACCUGGACGCAUUAGGGCUUUGAUCCACAAACAAACUUUCAAAACCCUCUUAGACCUCAAGAGCAUUUUAGUCCAUUUAAUCAAAAGUAAAAGUGCGGCUACCAGCUAACUCUCCGGAAUUGAACUGAACGAGUUUCAGAAAUGGCAUCGAAAAGCAAGAUUCUAUCCAUCGGCGGGACAGGGUAUAUCGGUAAAUUCAUCGUGGAAGCUAGCGUGAAAGCCGGCCACCCGACGUUCGUGCUCGUGAGGGAAUCCACAGUCUCUGGUCCUUCCAAAUCUCAGCUCCUCGACCACUUCAAAAACCUCGGCGUCAAUUUCCUUGUCGUGAGUUAUCAAUUUUUUUUUUCAUUUUUUUAAUUCCAAAUUUUGACACGUGGCGGUGUAGCCUCUACUUGAUAGACUUGGUUUUUUUUUUUAAUUUAAUUUUUGUGGGUGCUGUUAUUAUUAUGCAGGGAGAUGUUUUGAAUCACGAGAGUUUGGUGAAGGCGAUAAAACAAGUGGACGUGGUGAUAUCAACAGUUGGUCACACUUUAAUAGCCGAUCAGGUCAAGAUUAUUGCUGCCAUUAAAGAAGCCGGUAACGUUAAGGUAUGACAUAAUUAAUGUAAAUGUCUUAGAUUCCGAUCAGGAUUGUGCACUCGUGCACACGUGGUGAUUUAUUCUUCGUGUGGAGCUCGCUGUAGAGUAGAGCUCCCAGUUCCGCUAAUAAACACCCGUCACAUGCGCAAUUGCGCCUCAAAAUAAUUUAAUUAAUUAAUUAGGUAUAAACACCGAUGGCAUGAAAGCAAUUAAAAUUAGUUGAUGUUUAUAAAUUAUUUAUUACUCAGAGAUUCUUCCCAUCGGAAUUUGGAAAUGAUGUUGAUCGAGUCCAUGGCGCCGUGGAGCCAACAAAAUCGACGUAUGACGUAAAGGCGAACAUCCGCCGAGCCGUUGAGGCAGAAGGCAUUCCGUACACGUACGUAGAAUCUUAUUUUUUUGAUGGCUACUUCCUCCCUAAUUUGUUGCAGCCUGGGGCCACUGCCCCCCCUAGGGAUAAGGUUGUCAUCUUCGGCGAUGGAAAUCCAAAAGGUAACAUAAUUUAAUUAAGCUCUGUUUGUUUGGUAUGUAUUUCGGUGUUAAUGUUAUUGUCUGUUGUACAAUGGAUGGUCUUGCUUGGUACUGUUGUUGGAGAGCUGCAGUGUUUUGAUAAACACCUCUAUCCUUAGCUUUCAAGUUAAGUUGAUUUUAUACAACACUUGUUUAAUUAAAAACUUGUAAUAUUCUUACUACUUUGAUAAAAAAAAUAUUACGAUUAAAGUAUUAAUGGCACCAUAAUACGAAGUGAAUCUUAAGUGGUCAUUAUAGAUUUUAAGAUAGAGUUUUAAGUGAUUACCAGAUACUUUAGCUGCUGAACCGCCACAUCAUGGUUGCCACACAACAAUUUCAAACAGAGCCUAAAUAACUUCAUUGCAAAACAGUUAAAUGAAUCUAACUUAGUUUCGUCGUUUGAUUUUCAGCUGUUUUUAACAAGGAAGAUGAUAUUGGAACCUACACUAUCAAAGCGGUUGAUGAUCCGAGAACCUUGAACAAAAACUUUUACAUUCAGCCUCCCGGUAAUAUUUACUCAUUCAAUGAUCUUGUGUCUCUGUGGGAGAGAAAGAUUGGUAAAACCCUCGAAAAGGAGUAUGUUUCAGAGGAGCAGCUCCUAAAGAAUAUUCAAGGUUGGUUAAAACUCUCUUUUUUAAAUGUAUUAAAGAGAGCCGUAUAUUCUCUGCCGUAAAUGUUAUUGAUCCUGUCUUCUCCAAAAUGUUGCAGAAGCUGCAUCUCCACACAAUUUUAUAUUAUCAAUUUAUCACUCUGCUUUCGUGAAGGGAGUUCAAACUAACUUCAAGAUUGAACCAUCUUUUGGAGUUGAAGCCUCGCAGCUUUAUCCUGAUGUCAAGUACACUACAGUUGAUGAGUACCUCAAUCAGUUUGUGUAACCCUUCUCUGUUUCCAGCUGCAGCUUGCAGGAUCUUGGACUGUUGGUAAAUAAAUAAUUGGCUUGUUGCCAUCUUUGGUUUUAUAUGUAAAAAUUAUGGUUGUUGGCCUUACUUUCUUCUGGUUGUCCAUGGAAUUUGUUAGACCAUAUUAUGUUUGCUAUGUCAGUGAUCAAAUGAAGUAGGCCAUGUACUUGAUUUGAGAGUAGUAGUUAUAAAGCCAUCAUGAUCAGGUGGGUGCGUAGGUUGGGCUUCUAUUAGGGUGCGUGUGUUGGGCUUCAGGGGCUUGUGAUAUGGGUUCGACAGCCCCUAACGGGCAGUCAUUAUAAAAAUAAUUAUAGAGUUACAAAUCUAUGUAAAAAGCAAAAAUUAAAAGUAAUUUAUCAAUAAAAAUAAUUAAAAUUAAUAAAAAGUAGGUAUGAUAAUUCAGAAAUUAAAUUAAAGAUAGAAUUCUAAAGAGUUGGAUAAUCCUCCAACUAAACUAAAGAUCUAGUACUUUUGAGAGCAAAUUUAAUUAAAGAAAAGGAUAAGGAAAAACAAUAGAAUAAUAAUAUUAAAAAAUUGCAAAUCUUGGUCUUUUUUUUUUACGAUGAUGUUGAAUUCUUAUAAAUUUAAUCUUAUCUAUAGAAUUAUUUAGUUACUGUAUGUCAAAAUUUCCUAUAAAGAUGAAGAAAAAUUAUAUUAGGAGAAGAUCCAAAUCCGUUUAACUGAUGCAUCAUCGACAACAUGAGUACAACAUUUUCGAAUAAACAAAAGAAACUCGUUUUAUGUGUGAACCAGUUCCAAAAUAAAGAGCAGACUAUUGGAAGGAGACAAAUACUACAAGAAGAACAAAACAUUCUACAAUUCCUACAUGAGCCCGCAACAAUUAAUUAUUAACUCGACAUUCAUUACACUUUUUCUUUAAUUUGACAAAGAAACCAAAAAUAAGAUAAAAUUGACUAAGAAAUAAAAAAAUGACAAAAAUCUUUUUGAAGUUUUGCCAGUUCAGCCAUGCACGCUUAUCUUUAUUCACUUGUUUCCUUUCUUUCCUUUCUUUCCUUUCUUUCCUUUCUUUGCUGAAGCCUUCACAGAUCCUUUACCUUUCUGAGCCUUGCCAAUUUUCCCCUUCUUCAAACCACCUGGCCUUGCUGGAUCCACGUGUCCUUGCAUCCUUUUUCAUUCGUGGAUCAACAAGAAUCUCCCCCUUUCCAGCUCUCUCUUGAACUCCUUGCUUUGCGACCAUGUAUUCUUUGGUAGGCCUUUUGGGUAUAGUUGUCUUGUAUAAUUGUUCAAUUUGAUUCCUCUUCGAACGAUCAGAGAUGUCCGCUUAGUCUGAUAUGACAUUUGCCUUCUUGCGAACCUUCUCAAGAUUUCGCAUGGCAACCCGUAUCUUUCGAGCUUUGGUCUUAGCCACCUUCUUGGCAGUAUGGGUGGGCGAUUCGAUUUUGGGAUAAACUUUUGGUUUCGUAUCGGUUUAGAUUAAAAAAUAAUAUAAAAAAAUAUUUAGAUUUUAAGGGAAAAAAUCCGAACCGAGACUCACCUAUCGAUUUUGGCUCGGUUUCAGUUCAGUUUUGAUUCUCCUAAUAGUUUUAUUUUGCCUUAUUGACUUCCGGUCAAUGACACUUUUGAAAAAUUUACAAAAAAAAAAAAAAUGGCCAUAACAAAAUUUCUAAAUGCAAAUAUUUCCUAAACAUUAGGCUAUACUAAAUUUUUUUAAAAGGUAGGGAUCCAAACGAUAUUAUCCCUCUACUUCAUCUUCAACCUUCGUCACUAGGGAUGGCAAAAUUCAGGUUCGGGUUCGGGUCCGGGUUUAGCCAUUCGGGAUCCGGACCCGGAUGAAUAUUUUCUGUAUCGGACCCGAAAAUAAACCCGCAUUUUUCCACUCCGAGUCUGGUACGGGUUCAACCCGAAAAAAUUCGGGUUCCCAGACUGCGGGUUUCCAACCCGAAUUGAUGAAUCCAAUUGAAAAAAAAAAACUAAAUUCAACUAAAAAAAUCAAAUAGAAAUACAUAUCCAGGAUUUUAGCAAAUCAAAGAAAAAUUAUUUCAUCUGGAAACUAAUUAACAAAAACAACAAUUUUGUUUGGCUGCCCAGAAUCAGCAACCCAAUGUGGCGGCUCGUUCAAAACAUUAGUGUUUUCAACAGAUUUUGGGGUAGGAAAAGCCAAACCUAUCUAGAACAAUGAAUUUGUAUUUUUGGGGGAGAUGAGAUACCUCACUGGUUUGUUGUGUGCGGUGCAGUGUAUCUGAAAUUUGGGGGAUGUGAGAAGGGGAGAGGGAGUGGUAACAAUGGUGAAAGGUCAAAACCAAUAGAGAUGUCCUUCAAAAUGAGCUUCACACCUGUAAAACAGUGAAAUAAAGGUUAGAGGUGAAGCCGGGAUACCCCGGUGUUCACACUCCGAUGCUCAAGUUAGCAAACUCAAGCUUUUAUGACAAAGAGAACUGGCUAGCCCUCUGUAAAUUAGGGUUUAAGGUUCAAGGAAACCUAUUUUUUGGAAUGUGAGUGUUAAUGGUGAGUGAGAGACCUCUUCGAGAAUGAAACAUAGGCGCCUUUAUAUAUGGAGUACCUCAGCUGCCACAUGACGUACCCUUUUUUGGCUAACGUCAUUUUUCCUUUUUAUGAUUUUUGGGUCGUUAUGUGCAUGUUCGCGGGGUAUCUCAUCUUUUGGAAACGUGGCGCGCGCUGGAGAGUGGUCCAGGGUACCUCUGCAGUAGCUGUCGGGUAGGCAGCUGAAGACCACUGUCCUUGGGACAAUGUCCUUCACUUUUGGUAAAGGUGACAGGCGGUUGUCCCCCUUUUUAACACGACAUUUUUUAUUCCUAAUUAUGACAAAAUCGAAUAAUAUCUUUUAAGAGAUGGAGACGUUUCUCAUGGUGGAUAUUUUCAGAGGAUUCUCUUGCAUCUGAUCAGCCGGGUUCCUCCAGUUAUGCAGGGUACCUCUAAUUUUACGGGGUACCUCUAUUUGCGCAGGGUACCUUGAAUCAUGCUAGGUACCUUAGAUUAUGCGGGGUACCUCAUAUUGUGUGGGGUACCUCUAAUUGUGCGGGAUACCUCUAUUUGCGCUAGGUACCUUGAAUCAUGCUGGGUACCUCAGAUUGUGCGGGGUACCUCUAUUUGUGCAGGGUACCUUGAAUCAUGCUGGGCACCUCAGAUUGUGCGGGGUACCUUUAGUCAUGCGAGGUACUUUUAAUCAGGCCAGGUACCCUCUAAUUGUGCUGAGUACCUCUAAUCAUGCAGGGUACCUCUAAUCAUGCGGGGUACCUCUAAUCAGGCCGGGUACCUCAGAUUGUGCGGGGUACCUCUAUUUGCGCAGGGUACCUUGAAUCAUGCCGGGUAUCUCAGAUUGUGCGGGGUACCUCAAAUUGUGUGGGGUACCUCUAAUCGUGCGGGGUACCUCUAAUCAUGUCGGGUACCUCGGAUUGCACUGAAAUUAUUCCAUUCGUUGACACGUGGCGUUAUGCUAUCUUUCUUAUUUUUCCCCCAAACAACAUCCCUCUAGUUUCUUUUGGCAAGAAGUUUUGGAGGCAAAAGAAACUUACAUAAAAAGUAGGAGCGACACGUGGCGAUAUGAUGUUUAGCUCGAUGGAUAACUAAAUAGAGGGCGCCUCUAGGGGUACCCUGAGAACCCAAAAAGGGAAGAUGGGCUCCAUUUCCUCGGAAAUGGCUACCACUUUGGACAUGUUGGAAAUGAUAGAGCUAAUUGAUCAAAAAAAUUUCAUCUAUUUCUGGGGAAGAACACCAAAUACGGGUAGAGGGUAUCGUUAGGGUACCCCACCAUUAUCCAUAGUUUGUUUUCUAGUGACUGCCAUGUAUAAAUCGCUCUGGUGAAGGCUUCAAUACAUUCUUUGGGCAUUUAAGAAGCAAUUAUUUGAUUAUCUCGGGAUCCACCUUAUUUAAGGGUAUAUUUCCUUCAUGUGCUUCGAAGAAAAAAAUAAAAUCACAGGGCCUUCUUCCUUGUAACUUCAGAGGUACCAUCGACAGAAGAACAUAGUCGACAAUGCUUUUAAGCGUAUCAUGAUCGAGGAAUGGAGUGCUGAUCUGGGGUUGGUGGUGCCAAGAGUGGAGAAGAUGGUAGAUGAACCGGCUAUCUUGAAGGCGAUUAAUGAUAGCGGGGCUCCCAACACAUCUUGGUCUGAAAGCCCAUUGAGAUCAGCUGAGGUACCUCAGAUGAGGUAUCUAUAAGGUACCCCUGAUACUAACCCUUGUGUUUUUGCUACUUUUAGCACUUUAUUGAUCCCUUCAUCCUAAGGGAUGAAGUUGAAGAUAAAUAUCCUGUUGUAUAACCUUGUUCGACAUUACUGACAAGAUGUAUGGGGUACCUUGUUAGCCUAUAUGGCUAUAAAUAUUGAUUUUGAUGAUAACAAACCACAUGUAUUUAUUGAGUAAAGAUUUAUGAAUUGUGCUUUUAUAAUGAGAAAAUGAUGUUAUGGAAUUAAAUCUUUUUGAACUAAAAUGAAAGUAAUUUUAAAAUCUUUGAUAGUAUUUUAAAUUUCGGAUUUGUACAUAUUUGAAACUAUUUAAAUGUUUUUAGGUCAUUUUGUAAUUUCACAAAGUUUGGGCGAAGUCAUAAUUUCAUAAAGUUGUGGGAUUGAGAAAGCAUUAUCUAAAAUUAUGAAAUUGGACAUAUUUGCAAACGUUUAUAACGUUUUGGGCCAUACCACAGUUUUAUAAAGUUUUAGGGUCAAAUUGAAAAUAUUAGAAAAUUUUCACUGUAGCAGGUUACUGUAGCAAGCAGCUUACCGGAUUCAGAAAAUCAGAAAUCCGGAUUCGAGGCAGUAAGCAUCCAGAACCAAAACGGCUUACCGGAUUCCUGAAUCCGGCAAACCGGUUAGGCAAAAUUUUGAAUUUUGCCUUAACGGUAACAUAAAUCCGGCUUACCGAAUUCUAUAAAAUGGCAAACUGGAUAGCCUAGAAUGUGAGUAACGGCUAGUUUUCGAGCUCAAGCUAUAAGAACUCAAAUCCAACUCAUUUUGAAGCUCUCCAACAAGCAAGAACAAAAAGCACACGUGAUAUCUUGAGCCUUCAACUUGUAAAACACAAUUCAUUGAAUCAUUCAUUGUUCUUCAUCUUUGAAUAUCUACUCAUUGAGUGAGUUUCAUUGUAUCUUUCAUUUCUUCAAUUCAUUUGUAAGAGUUUGAGUGUGUGAGACACUUGAGUGAAGAGAUUGGGAGAUAAUCUCUUUGUUGUAAAGGUUUAUUGACACCUCGAAGUCAAUUGUAAUCGUUGAAGCCUUGGAAAGGCUUGGAUAGUGAAAUCCUCGAGCUUGGAUCGCUUGGAGGCGUGGACGUAGGCGGGGAUUACCGAACCACGUAAAAAUUCGUGUGUUUGUUUCUCUUCUCCCUUACUCUUUAAUUAUUGUACCAUUAUUGAACUUAUUACUUUCAAUUAUUGUUAAGACAUUAGAUUGCUUGUUGUGUGGAUUUGUUAGGAUAAUUUUUAAAAAUCCAAUUCACCCCCCUCUUGGGUUGCACACUUGUAUUUCAUACCUCAUGUACCCUAAUGCUUGGAUAUCCCUUGAGCUAUCUGUUACUUCAUGGCGGAAUAACCCAAUUGCAUCAAACAUAUGGCGAUUCUUCCAGAUAUGCUUGUCGCUUAUCUUAAGCUUUCUUAGGGUUCCUCCUGGUGUAUCUGAGGAAUAGCUUUCUGGCGUGGGGUACCCUUAAUCAGCGUAUGGUGAUUUUCAUAGAAAUGCUUGCCGCAAAUCUUCACAAAACUUGUUGCGGUUGCUUUUGAGAGAUUGUGCGGGGUACCUUGAAUCAUGCCGGGUAUCUCAGAUUGUGCGGGGUACCUCAAAUUGUAUGGGGUACCUCUAAUCGUGCGGGGUACCUCUAAUCAUGUCGGGUACCUCGGAUUGCAGUGAAGUUAUUCCAUUCGUUGACACGUGGCGUUCUGCUAUCUUUCCUAUUUUCCCCCAAACAAUUAGUAAAGAGAGCUAAAGAACUAGCUUUAGUUACGAGCAGAAAAUCAGAAGUCAAGGAGCAGCCAAAGCACUUUUAAUGGUGAUGGUAAAACUAGAGAGGUAAUGCAAAUAAGUUUACGUUGAUUGGAUAUUCAGAAGAAGUAAUACGCCAUUAAAAGCAACAAGUUUUCCAAAAAGCCAACAAAGACAGAGACCACCACACCACCCCGCACUGGAUGAAAAACGAUGAAAGCAUGAUAAGUGGCAUCGAGUAAGCCACGUUCUCUCUCUCUCUCUCUCUCACUCGCACUCGCACUCGCACUCGCACACACUGUUACUAAAAUGACCAAAAAUAAGAUUCCCAUCAAAAUAUUUUCGAGUAUCGUUCUUGAAAGUGGCGGCGGCUGAUGAUGAUGAACACAGCCGCGAUUGCGAUUGGCGAAGGCGGCGUUCUGCCCGUAUCACAGCUAGUUAUCGGUCGCGGCAGAAAAGAUAAUGAAACGACGGCUGAUGAUGAUGAUGAUGAUGUUGAACAGCCGCGAAUAUGGGUAAGUGAUGCGACGAUGAUUUGAUUUGAUGAAGAUGAGCUGAACAUGGAAUAAGAGAGGAAAUGUUUGUGCGGCUGGGAAAGUGUAAUGAACUGCUAGGGCACCAUUUGGGUUUUUUUGCUUUCCUAUUUAUAUUAAAAAUAAUUUUUAAAAAUUAAUAUAUAUCCGGGUUCGGGUUUUGGAUGUACGGGUUUACCUAGACCCGGACACAUGCGGAUUCAGCAGCACCGACCACCCACAGACUUGGAUUUGAUUACAAAGUUGGGACUUAGGAUUUGGGUUUGUGGCUGCCGAAACAGAAAGUGAGAGAGUAGAAAGUAGAGACUGAGAGUGGUGCAAACAUGUGUAAUUUUGUGUGUGUGUCUAUAUAUAUAUAAUGUGAAAUUACAAAAAUGCCAUUAUAUCAGUUCAAUUCGAAUUUUGUAACUUGUGAUCCGAAAACUGAACCAAACCGAACCAUUUGGUUUGGUAUUUAUAUAUUCAGGUUUUUAAUUUAAAAAAACUAAAUUGAAAUUGAAAGAACUAAACCGAACCGAAUUUUUUUUUUUUUUGUUUCGAUUCAAUUAUGCCCAUCCCUACUUAGUAGGCUGGGUAUCAAUUUCUUUGAAUUGUGCUUUCAUUGCAGUAAUCUCCUCCUUGGUAAUAGGUUUAAUUGCUUGCUGAUGCCACCUUUCCUCUAGUAACAACUAGUCUAACAAGCCAUCAUCGUCAAACAUGUACCUAUUAUAAGCAUCAUCCAGAAUUUGCUCUCUUUGCUUUUUGCUUAGUGUCUUCUUUGCACAAGCUAUUAUCUUAGCUUUUGUAUCAAUAUCUUUAUCUUUUGAUUCACCAGAGGAUGAAUCAUCACCGGAAUAGAGUGGUGAAGGCCCCAUAGAUUAGUGUGAUCAAGUUCUAGUGUAGUUUUGGUUUUGAUUUCAGUAUUAGGAAAAUGAAGCCUAUGAAAUUUACCAAGCUAACAUGCUUCACAAAAGUGCUUUAAUACUUGACUAUGAAUACUUGAAGAGGAUAAAUGAGGAUAAAUAAAUUUAAAUAUACAUUAGAUUUUGAGGGUUGGGAUGUCAAAACUUUUGGUGAAAAAGAGUUAGUACAAGCAUUUUUAUUGAGAUUGAAAACAUUUCUUAAGAUGAUCAAUACUAGUUACAAAAUUGGAAUGAAAAAAAAAAGGCAACAUAGACAAAGGUUUGUUUAUUUGAUUGUAAGAUAGAAAAGACUUGUAUUUAGGUUGUGGAAAGGAUUUGAGCAGCAAUUUAUACAACCUUUUCUCAGCAAAACCUUCCUCUUCAAUGAAUCCUUCACAAAACAAAUAGAUCCAAGAAAUUCGACAAAUAAAUUGUUGUCAAUGGUAAGUUUUGAAAUGCUCAAUAGAUUCUUUGUAAUGGAUGGAACAAACAGUACAUCCUUAAGUAAAAUAUGUCUUAUAUUAUCUUUUUUUAAUUCUUUUUAAAAAAAUAAGUGAAUAAUAGUAUGUCAAUCUCAAAUAUCAAUAUGUACAAUUUUUAUUUGUGUAAGAAUUUGCAUCCAAUAAUCAUCAAUACAUAAUUGUCUUUUAAUUGAAUGGUUCUCACCUCCCUUCCAAACUUUGAAAAGGUAAAAUAAGAUCAAUCAUGUCAGUGGCAAUUAAUAUAAAGAUUACUUUUCUUAUUUGUAGUAACGUCCUCUGAUUAUUUAGCUGAUUUUCAAGCUACACAUUUAUUCCAUUUGAUGUUGAUAUUAGUAAAAUUAAUGUAAUAUUUAAAAAGGAAAAAAAUCCGUCGAGCUAAAAGCCGAGUAUAAAAUUGAACCAGACCCAAACCAGAAACGCACGCCAACAACAUGUUUGCGUCAGUCGGCCCAUGCCCAUAAACCCACCAAGCCCGAUCCAAAUAGAAAAAUGAAUUGGACACCCGAGAUAGCAGAAACAGAUAAGUAACGGUCGUGCUAUCCCCAAUCUCAUAUCUUCAACGGUAUCCAGCCAACAUCUCAAAGUGUUCAAUUUUUUUUUAAGCCAAAAAAAAAUUCAAAAUUUUCAAGCGGAAUCUGGGAAGAUAGCGAUGAAAAGCAAGAUUCUGGUUAUCGGCGGAACCGGAUACAUCGGUAAGUACUUAAGGUGCGUUUGAAAUUGAGGUUGAGCAACUAUAACUUUAAAACUGCAGCACUAAAAUAUUUGGUAAACACUAAUUGUUGUAACUUAAAAGCUAUUUAAUAUAAUUUUUCACUUGUAUAAUAAAAAAUUUAUUAUCUUUAAUAAUUUUGUCAAAAUUAUUAUUUAAAAUAUAUACAGUAAGAGAGAUUGUAACAUUUUCAAUCUUUGGUUUGAUAUUCUGGAAGAAAACGAUUUGCCGUUUAUGGAGAAAACUGCUAACCGUUUAAUUUCAGAGAGCAUGUUUUCUAUUCUAGAGAAAACGGCUAACCGUUUGGAGAAAACGGCUAACCGUUUGGAGAAAAUGGCUAACCGUUUGGAGAAAACGGCUAACCGUUUAAUUCCAGAGAGCAUGUUUUCUGUUCUAGAGAAAAUGACUAACCGUUUGGAUAAAACGGCCAACCAUUAAUUACAGAGAGCAACUUAUUUGACAUUCUGGAAUAAAACGGCUCACCGUUAUUGAGAAAACGGCUAACCGUUUAUUUCCAGAGAGCGUGUUUUUGCGUCAACUGGAAAAACGGUUAGCAAGCUUAGAAAUUUCAAUUGUCAAUCGAUGCAAACUCAAACCAAAAGAGUGUUUUUUUGAAGAAGUACUAUUUUUAAUGGUUGUAUUCUUUCAAAUAAACAUCUUCUUUAUUAAAGAUAGACAAACUAUUAUAUCAUAAUUAGAUUUUGCAGGUUUCAUAUAUGUUCUGGAAAUACAAUCUUAUUUUUUAGAGAUUGUAUUCAGGAUUUGAUAUAUCUUAGGGGUAAUUUGCCAUUAAAACUCUAUAGCAAACCAAGAUUGGUGAGGGUAAAUAAAACCUUAAAGAAAAAUGUGCAAACACGUCUCAAAUCCUAAGAAAUUUUCUUUGUUCUUUGCCUCCAUAUUCUUAAAAUUUGAAAAUUCACCCAUCAAUCUUUAAGGUUUUAUUUUGAUGCAAAUAGAGGCUGAGAAGAGUUUGACGUCAUUUCUUAAUCCUAGUGUCCAUCUCGAUCGUUUUGAUGGAACAAAUUUCACUCGUUGGAAGGAAAAAUUGUUCUUUCUUCUUACUGUUCUUAAAGUGGCAUAUGUUCUUAAUCCGAAAUUGGAACCAUUUCCAGAACCAAGGGAAGAUGAUACCGAAGUUGUUAAGGCUGUAAGGAAACGUCGUGAAGAUGAUGAAUUGAUGUGCCGGGGUCACAUACUCAAUACGCGUUCUGACAGGUUAUAUGAUCUCUACAAUUUUAUGACUUCUUCGAUGGAAAUUUGGAAUGCUCUUGAGUACAAAUACAAAACGGAGAAAGAAGGUACUGACAAAUUCCUUGUCUCUAAAUAUUUUGAAUUUAUUAUGGUAGACACACAAUCCAUUCUUGAUCAAAUACAUGAGUUAUAAAUUAUUGUUGCUAAGCUUCGAGAGUUAAAAGUUAAAAUUUCUGAAUCAUUUCAAGUUGGGACUAUUAUUGCUAAAUUGCCUCAAAGUUGGAAUGAUUAUAGAAAGAAACUCCUUCAUAGUAAAGAGAACAUAACUUUAGAAGAAUUGCAAAAACACUUGGUAAUUGAAGAAGAGACUAGGUCUCGCGAAUCCAAGGAUAAACAUGAUUCUACUAAAGUUAAUGUUCUUGAAGCUAGUAAAUUCUCAAAGAAUUUUAAAGUCAAGAAUGACAAGAAAUUUAAGAGGUCCAGCACACAAAAGUUUUCUGGAAAUUGUUUCUUUUGUGGUAAGAAAGGUCAUCGCCAAAGUGAUUGCAGAUUCAAGAAAAAAAAAGAAGAAGUGAAUUCCUAUAAAGCUAAUGUUAUUGAAAACAAAUCUGAAAAGAUUUGUGCUAUGGUUUCUGAAAUACAAAUUGGCAUGAUUAUCGAAACCAAUAUGGCUGAAACUAAGUCCUAUGAUUGGUGGCUCGAUUCGGGUACAACAAUUCAUGUUUGUAAUGAUAAGAAAUUUUUAUUAUCAUACAAAGAAGAAACGGAAGGACAAAUGGUUCUCAUGGGGAACAAUAAUGCAGCCAUAGUAGCAGGGAAAUGAGUAGUUGAGAUCAACUUCACUUCUAGAAAGAAAGUCACAUUGUAUAAUGUCUUUCAUGUACCUUCCGUUAGGAAGAAUCUUAUUUCUGCUAGUUGUAUGUGUAAGCAUGGGCUUAAGAUUGUGCUUGAGGGUAAUACUUGUAUUAUCUCAAAGAAUGAAUUAUUUGUUGGGAAAGGGUAUUCUUGUGAUGGAAUGUACAAACUCAACAUUAAUAAUAAUAAUAUCAACUUAGCUUAUAUUGUUGAGUCUUGUGAUGUUUGGCAUGCUAAAUUAGCACAUUUGAAUUUUAGAUCUUUGAAAUACAUGUCUGAGCAUGGUUUGAUUAAUUGCAAUGAUGUUAAAGGUCAUAAGUGUGAAAUCUGCAUCCAAGCUAAAUUAACUAAGAAACAUUUUCUUAAAGCCGAACGAAAUACUCAAAUAUUGGAUUUAAUAUAUACCGAUAUUUGUGAGUAUAAUGGCGUUUUAACAAGAGGAGGUAAGAAGUACUUUAUCCCUUUUAUUGAUGAUUGUUCUAGAUACACUUAUAUGUAUUUACUUAGAACAAAAAAUGAAGCUUUUGAUAAAUUUAAAAUUUUCAAAGCUGAAGUUGAGAACCAAAAAGAUAAGAAAAUCAAAAUGGUUCGUAGUGAUAGAGGUGGUGAAUAUUUCUCAAUUGAAUUUAAUAAUUAUUGUGAAGAAUUUGGAAUUAUUCACCAAAGAUCAGCUCCAUUUACUCCUCAACAAAGUGGUUUGGCUGAAAGAAAGAAUAGGAUCUUCACGGAUAUGAUAAAUUCCAUGAUCCAUAAUGCAAAACUACCAAAUAAUUUGUGGGGGGAAGCAUUACUCACUGCAUGUCAUAUUCAUAACAGAAUUACAUCUUUGAAAACACAUAUAUCUCUUUAUGAAAUUUGGAAAGGAAGAAAACCAAACUUGAUGUAUUUAAGGGUCUAGGGUUGUUUAGCUUUUUAUAAAAUACAUGAUCCUAAAUCAUCAAAGUUAAGUGCUAGAUGUAUAAAGAGUGUUUUCGUAGGAUAUGCUGAAAAUUCUAAGGCUUAUAGGUUGUUAGAUUUAGAUUAUAAUGUGAUUGUGGAAUCUAGAGAUGUUGAAUUUAUUGAGAAUAAAUUUCAACAUGAUUCUAAUAUUGAAUUAGAAUCAAUUAUUGAUCAACCAUGUGUUAAUACUCCUGUUACCUCCACUAACAAUAAUAAAAGGAAAGAGUCUAUGACAUCUUUCGAACCAAUGAGGAGUCAACGUGAAAAGAAAGAAAAGAGUUUAGCUCCGGAUUUUAUUUCAUCACAAGCACUACUCUUCUUGGUUGAAGGGGAUAGAAAGAAUGUACUUAACAAAGUACCAUUAUUGUUAAAUAUUGAAAAAGAUCCAAAGACAUUUAGCGAAGCUAUGUCUUCUAGAGACGCUUCUUUUUAGAGAGAGGCGGUAAAUGAUGAAAUUGAUUCGAUUAUUUCGAAUCAAACAUGGGUCUUGGUUGAUCUUCCUCCAGGAUCUAAACCAAUUAGCAGCAAAUGGGUAUUUAGAAGAAAGUACAAUAGUGAUGGUUCUUUGCACACUUUUAAGGCUAGAUUAGUAGCCAAAGGGUUUAAGCAAAGAAAUGGUAUUGAUUAUUUCGAUACAUAUGCUUCGGUAGCAAGGUUAACUUCUAUAAGAGUGCUAUUUGCAAUUGCUUCAUUGAACAAUUUGUAUGUGCAUCUAAUGGAUGUUAAAACCGCUUUUCUUAAUGGUGAUCUUGAUGAAGAAAUCUAUAUGGAACAACCUGAGGGAUUUGUUUUACCAGGAAAUGAGAAAAAAGGUAUGCAAAUUAGUCAAAUCACUUUAUGGUUUAAAGCAAGCACCAAAACAAUGGCAUGAGAAGUUUGAUUCGGUAAUUUUAUCUCAUGGUUUUAAGCAUAAUAAUGCUGAUAAAUGUAUAUAUUUUAAAUUUACGAAUGAUUUUGGUGUGAUUAUAUGCUUGUAUGUUGAUGACUUGCUUAUCUUUGGGACAAAUAUGCAAGGAGUAGAUGAUACAAAGAAGUAUUUAACUUCACAAUUUAAGAUAAAAGAUCUUGGUGAAGUAGAUACUAUCUUAGGUGUCAAAGUGAAGAAACAUAGUGAGGGUUACUCGUUGUGUCAAUCUCAUUAUAUAGAGAAAGUGCUUCUUAAAUUCAAUUAUUUGAAAUUUAAAGAAGCUAAUACCCCAUAUGAUUCUAGUAUUAAAUUAUUAGAGAAUUCAGGCCGAGUAGUAGCACAACUAGAAUAUGCUAGUGCUAUUGGUAGCUUGAUGUAUGCUAUGCAUUGUACGAGGCCUGAUAUAGCAUUUGCAGUUUGCAAAAUGUCAAGAUUCACGAGUAACCCUAGUGUUGAACACUGGAAAGCAAUUGGUAGAAUACUUGGUUAUCUUAAAAGGACCAUUCAUUUGGGUUUAUUUUAUAAUGAUUAUCCUGAAGUACUGGAAGGAUAUUCAGAUGCUAGUUGGGUAACCAAUACAAGAGAUAAUAAAUCCACUUCUGGUUGGAUUUUUACAAUUGUUGGAGGAGCAGUUUCCUGGGCUUCAAAGAAACAAACGUACAUAACUCAUUCAACAAUGGAAAGUGAGUUUAUAGCACUCGCAGUUGCAAGCAAGGAAGUAGAAUGACUGAGAAAUUUGUUGUUUGAUAUAAUGUUAUGGCCACAACCGAUGCCAUAUAUUUCUUUGUACUGCGAUAGUGAAGCUACAUUGUCUAGAGCUUAUAAUAAAGUGUAUAAUGGAAAGUCUAGACAUAUUAGCUUGAGACAUGAAUAUGUGAAACAAUUAAUAGCAGAUGGUGUUAUUAAUAUUGUUUAUGUUAGGACUAAUAAGAACCUAGCGGAUCCUUUAAUAAAAGGUCUUACAAGAGACUUAGUUAAGGAUACAUCUUUUGGAAUGGGAUUGAAACCUUUAAAUAAUAAAGUCACCAACGACGAUAACCCAACUAUGUAGUAGUUGUACCGCUACUCCAUAGUUAAAUGGAUAAUAACAAGUUGUUGUUAUGUGACUGGUUUGGCACCGAGUAAUAAAUAAUCACAUUCGAGAUAUUCGGUGCAAAUAGCUACGAGGUUGAGGUUGAGUAUUUAUUCUUAAUGAAGUUCAAGUCUUAUAGUAGCUAAAGACAUGAUUUGAAACUUCACCUAAGUGAACAUAAGAAAUGGUGCCGUUUCUAACAAGAUCAUGGUUUAAUCUAGUAAAUGUUCAUGAAUUCAAGAUAGAGCACAAGGCCGGAAUAGUGCUAAAUAUUGGAACACAACUUUGAAAAUCUGGGAUAGCUUAUAUGUGAUGUAUCUCCGGUAUUUACUUAAGAGACAAAGUUUAAUGCUUAGCACAUUAUUGUCUUGUAAAUGCUUUGAAAUACACUCACUAAUUAAAGGUUAAAAUCGAAAGAUAUCUUUUUGUAUGUAUAAGUUUAUCAUUAAUAAAUAUGAAAAAUAUUACAAUCUAGUGGGGGAUUGUAAGAGAGAUUGUAACAUUUUCAAUCUUUCGUUUGAUAUUCUGGAAGAAAACGGUUUGCCGUUUAUGGAGAAAACGGCUAACUGUUUAAUUCCAAAUAGCAUGUUUUCUGUUCUAGAGAAAACGACUAACUAUUUGGAGAAAAUGGCUAACUGUUUAAUUCUAGAGAGCAUGUUUUCUGUUCUAGAGAAAGCGGCUAACCGUUUGGAUAAAACGACCAACCGUUAAUUACAGAGAGCAACUUAUUUGACAUUCUGGAAUAAAACGGCUCACCGUUAUUGAGAAAACGGCUAACCGUUUAUUUCCAGAAAGCGUGUUUUUGCGUCAAUUGGAAAAACGGUUAGCAAGCUUGGAAAUUUCAAUUGUCAAUCGAUGCAAACUCAAACCAAAAGAGUGUUUUUUUGAAGAAGUACAAUUUCUAAUGGUUGUAUUCUUUCAAAUAAACAUCUUCUUUAUUAAAGAUAGACAAACAAUUAGAUCAUAAUCAGAUUUUGCAGGUUUCAUAUAUGUUCUGGAAAUACAAUAGAUCAUAAUCAGAUUUUGCAGGUUUCAUAUAUGUUCUGGAAAUACAAUCUUAUUUGCUAGAGAUUGUAUUCAUGAUUUGAUAUAUCUUGGGGGUAAUUUACCAUUAAAACUCUAUAGCAAACCAAGAUUGGUGAGGACAAAUAAAACCUUAAAGGAAAGUGUGCAAACACGUCUCAAAUCCUAAGAAUUGUUUUUUGUUCUUUGCCUCCAUAUUCUUAAAAUUCGAAAAUUCACCCAUCAUAUACAUACUACAUAUUAUUAACUUUUGUUUUAUAACUAUAGUGUUUUUUUUUUACCGCAACUGUAGUUUAAAAACUACAGCACCUCAAUCCCAAACAAGACCUUAGUGGAAGCGAGCGCAAAAGCCGAUCACCCAACAUUCGCGCUUGUGAGAGACUCCACUCUCUCCACUCAUUCCAAAUCCAAAAUCCUCGACCGUUUCAAAAAUCUCGGCGUCAAUUUAGUUCUUGUGCGCCACUCUUUUAGCUUUCCAAUUUUCCCGCCAAUUUUCUUUUAUUGUGAUUAAUUAAUUAAUUAAUUAAUUAAAGUAAAGAUUUUAUAUUAUAAUUUUGUUUGCAGGGAGAUCUAUACAGCCAUGAGAGCUUGGUGAGUGCAAUAAAGCAAGUGGAUGUUAAGGUAAUGAUUAACUUAAGUAAAUGCGUUAACUAAUUACUUGGGAUUUUAAAUUCAAAUGCGUGAAUUGUUCUAAAAAAUGAUUUAUGUUUAUUAGUCAGAGAUUCUUUCCUUCAGAAUUUGGAAAUGAUGUUGAUCGCGUGCAUGCCGUUGAGCCAGCAAGAACAUCAUUUGCCACCAAGGCUAAAAUCCGCCGAGCUGUUGAGGCUGAAGGAAUUCCAUACACCUACGUAGCUUCCAAUUUCUUCGCUGGUUUGUAUCUUUCCAGUUUCUCACAGCCUGAAGCCACAGCUCCUCCAAGGGAUAAAGUGGUCAUCGUAGGUGAUCGAAAUGCAAAAGGCAAAGCGCUUCUGGAUACAUUUACUCUGUACACGCAAUGUGUGGUUACUGUUUGGGGAUAAAAAAGGAGAUUAAUUAAUAAAGAAAAUGAAAUUAUUGAGGGAUUUGCUGAAGAGUUGCGUGCACUCCUCAUUUUUCUCCACCACUCAUCUUACUUGCAAAAUGCAAUGACCAAACUAUCCUCGCCAAAGCCUAGACAUUUACUUGUGUUCAAAGGCCAUUUAAGAGAGACAAGUACAAAAAAUUAUAAAGGAUAGUGAGCAAAAGAAGAAAAUGGAAGGAGGGGAGAAUAAAAAAUGGGAGUGGGGCGUUAUCUAGGGAGGAUUUUUAUUUUUAUUUUUUUUCCUCUCUUCUCCAUGGCAUCUCUUUCUCUCUUUCUCCCACUAAGAAAUUCUUUCUUUUACACUCUAUUUUACUUUUAUUCAAAUUACACAAAAAACUUUUGGUUUUAAGGCAAUGUUUAUUAAGCCACGUGAAUUUGAAAAAGCAGGAAUAAGGGGAUGAUUUUAACACAUUAAUUCACCAACAUUAAUUGGAAAAGAUCAGUUGCCACUUCGAAUCAGAGUAAUUUCUUCGGCAAUAGCCAAAUAUUGAUAUUUGAUCUUGACACUGUAGUUAAAUCAAUGUAACUGGUUUUGUCAUUUGAUCCCCAGUAAUUUUUAACAAGGAAGACGAUAUUGGAAUUAAUUCUAUCAAAGCGGUGGAUGAUCCGAGAACACUGAACAAAAUACUUUACAUCAGACCCCGUUGCAAUAUCUACUCAUUUAAUGAUCUUGUGUCUCUGUGGGAGGAAAAGAUUGGCAAAGCCCUUGACAGGGUCUAUGUUACAGAGGAACAACUUCUGAAAAACAUUCAAGGUUAGUUAGAACUAUCACUUUAUCAAGUGCAUAGAUGUAACUGACCGAUAAUGGAAUUUUUUUUCCUUCUCCAAAAUGCGAUAGAAUCUAAUCGGUUUCAACAAUCUCAAGAACACCUAUUCAUGGUUGUGUUGUUUGAAAUCUGUAUGUAUCAGUUUUCUUUCUAGAUCUCAGAUUGCUCGCAAGGAUGUCAAGUUUUGAUGAUGCUUGCCUGUUUUCCUGUGUUUACAGAAGCUUCAUAUCCACUCAAUAUGAUAUUACCUAUUGGGCACUCUGCCUAUGUCCUGGGAGAUCAGACCAACUUCGAAAUUGAACCUUCAUUUGGAGUAGAGGCAACAGAGCUUUAUCCAGAUGUCAACUACACUACUGUGGAUGAGUACCUCAACCAGUUCAUAUAAACCUUCUGAGAUGAGCAGCAGGAUCCUAACAAAAAAUUGGGUGGUUUCCAUCCCUGAUUCUAUGGUAUAAAGAUAGCGGCUUUCCCUGCUUUUGCCAGUUCAAUGAAGUUUGUUAGAUGAUGUUAUUUAUACUAUACUAGCAAAGAUCAAGUUGCCUUUCUUGUCAAGAAGCCAAGCUCUGGCAUUGGUUUAUGCUAGUUUUUCAUGUUUAUUACUUUUUUUGCAUUCAAAAUGAUAAAACUGCAGAGGUUGUUGCAUGCACGUCAUUUGUUAGUAGGGGUAUCAAUUUAUGAACGUAUGAAGUAUCUCUUCUGCAACGGCAUCCUCCUUAACUGUCAGUAGGAUCACAAUAAGUCGACCAACCAUCUACCGUAUGGAUUAUCUAUAAAUUGAAAUUGGUGUGUAUUAUGGAUCUGUCACUCUGCUGUUUCUGUUUUCUUUUCUAUUUUUACCAAGAAAGAAACAUUGUUAAAACUGAAUGGUUGUUAUCUCGUCUUGUUGUAAUGUUGUGUAUGCUUUCUAGAAAAUAAUGAAGUGCCAAAUAUGAAAAUACUAGUGGCUACCUUACCAUCCUUAAUAAGUUGUCUGAUUGUCACCGUCAACAAUCACUCUCAGCAACUCAUAAUCCAUUUAAGCAUAUUAUAAAAUAAUCAAUUUUGUAUUUGCACCAACUUUUAGUUUUAAAUGACAAUUUCGUUGAUCCCCACACUUCUGUACUAAUCAAAUCCACUGAAACUGGACUUUUUUUUCUUUUUUUUUAUAAUUACAUCGAUUGCAUUGGCUAUUGCAGGGAAAAGACUGCCUCUACAGGGAACUAAACUUUCAGAAUUGUUCUUAUGAGGGUUUGAAUAUGCUCUCGUACUAGGUCAAUGGCCUAUUGGUUCGAGACCAUUCACAAAGAAAGAAAUGAGUUUUGCUUGUAUAAAUGAAAGAAAUCCAAAUGAUAACUAAUGUAUAGUGGUACAUGAGAAAAAUAAUUUCAGCCCGUGUAAAGUCAAAAAGAGAAAAUAUUAAAAGAAAGGAUAAUGUCAUUGAGUUCGGUGAAGUGAAAGAAAAUGAAAAACAUGGGAUUUAGUCAAACUUAGUGUCCCAAUCAGCAGAAAAAGGUUUUAGAAACUCACCUCAAGUUAAGCCAACUAUUAGGAGCUUUAUUUAAUCAUGACUUUCUAAUGUAUAGUACUCCAAUACUAAACGAGGGCUACCUCUACGCUUGCAAUUGUAAAUGAAAUUGAGUUCGUGACGCACAAUGAAGUGAGCAAAAUGAGUUGAGAUCUGAGAAUAUAUUAAAGAAAAUAUGAAUCAAUGAAUUUUGGUUAAAAAAAACAAAUGCUGGUUCUUCAAGACCUGCGUGUAUUGUGUAAGUUUUGUUAGGAGAAGGAAAGCAUUUUGGUCUAAAACGCACUAAAUCGGAUUCAUUUGCUUGAUAUCUAAUAAGGGUGAAUUAACCACUCGCCCACAGCAAUUCAAGUCCCAAAAAAAUUAUUGUGGGGGCUAAAUUUCUUCUUUAAUUAUAACAAAUAAUUGAGUGGAGGAUAAAAAUUUAGGCCAUGUAUAACAAUAACUAAUAUAAACUAGUCCUAAUAAUAGUAUAAUUGUAAAUAUCAGUUGUAGUCUCAUACAAUAUAAGUUUAUAGAUUAUAAUAUCGGCAUAAAAAGAAAAAUGAUAUCUGACGGUCAAUCAAUAAAAGGACAAAAACUUGGAGUAACAUACCACAAAGUCAAUGUAGCUGGACAGAUGAAUAUAAUAUGUAAACAAAUUUAAAUGGGAUAAUACCAUACGGUACAUACAUAACAUUUUAAAACUGAAUUAAAAAAAUAAAAUUAAAACUGAAUUGGAAUUCGUAUGUGUAUCCAGCUACCUUGCAACAGUUGUAAGGUACCCUAACUUUGCAACAAUUUCAUCCUUCGUGCAUUCGGUCACAAAGUCCAAAUUAGGCACGUUUAAGAAUCGAACUGAAAAACUAAAAAAAAAGAAUCCGGCGAUAUUUGCGAACCGGAAACGAGCCAGCGUUAUGCUUAUGUCAUUUCAGAGAUAUCAACAGUCGUGCUUUCAGUCCUUAAACCUCAAGGGCAUUUUCGUCCUUUCACUCAAGCGUGAAACUGCAUGUAAGAACUGCUUCGCUUACACGCUCCAUGCACAUUUAAAGGCACCACUGUCGGAUAAAAAAUAUCCAUCCAUUUGAUCAUUUCAAAACAAAACGAAAAAAAAAAUCUCAGUAAUUGAACUGAACGAGUCUCAGAAAUGGCAUCGAAAAGUAAGAUUCUAUUCAUCGGCGGGACAGGGUAUAUCGGUAAAUUCACUGUCGAAGCGAGCGUAAAAGCCGGCCACCCGACGUUCGUGCUCGUGAGAGAAUCCACAAUCUCUGGUCCUUCCAAAUCUCAACUCCUCGAUCACUUCAAAAACCUCGGCGUCAAUCUUGUCAUAGUGCGUUUUCAUUUUUCUCUUUUCUUUAUUUUUUAUUCCGAUCAUUUUUACACGUCGAAGUGUAGCAUCUACUACUUAAUAUACAUAAUGAUAUUAUUAUUUUUUAAUUUUUUUGGGUUGCUGUUAUUAUUAUACAGGGAGAUGUGUUGAAUCACGAGAGUUUGGUGAAGGCGAUAAAACAAGUGGACGCGGUGAUAUCAACAGUUGGUCACACUUUAAUAGCCGAUCAGGUCAAGAUUAUUGCUGCCAUUAAAGAAGCCGGUAACGUUAAGGUAUGACAUAAUUAAUGUAAAUGUCUUAGAUUUCGAUCAGGAUUGUGCACUCGUGCACACGUGGUGAUUUAUUCUUCGUGUGGAGCUCGCUGUAGAGUAGAGCUCCCAGUUCCGCUAAUAAACACCCGUCAGAUGCGCAAUUGCGCCUCAAAAUAAUUUAAUUAAUUAAUUAGGUAUAAACACCGAUGGCAUGAAAGCAAUUAAAAUUAGUUGAUGUUUAUAAAUUAUUUAUUACUCAGAGAUUCUUACCAUCGGAAUUUGGAAAUGAUGUUGAUCGAGUCGAAGGCGCCGUAGAGCCAACAAAAUCGACGUAUGACGUAAAGGCGAAAAUCCGCCGAGCCGUUGAGGCAGAAGGCAUUCCGUACACUUACGUAGAAUCUUAUUGUUUUGAUGGGUAUUUCCUCCCCAAUUUGUUGCAGCCUGAGGCCACUGCCCCCCCUAGGGAUAAGGUUGUCAUCUUAGGCGAUGGAAAUCCAAAAGGUAAUAUAAUUUAAUUAAGCUCUGUUUGUUUGGUAUGUAUUGCGGUGUUAAUGUUAUUGUCUGUUGUACAAUGGAUGGUCUUGCUUGGUACUGUUGUUGGAGAGCUGCAGUGUUUUGAUAAACACCUCUAUAGUCUAUCCUUAUCCUUAGCUUUCAAGUUAAGUUGAUUUUAUACAACACUUGUUUAAUUAAAAACUUGUAAUAUUCUUACUACUUUGAUAAAAAAAAUAUUACGAUUAAAGUAUUAAUGGCACCAUAAUACGAAAUGAAUCUUAAGUGGUCAUUAUAGAUUUUAAGAUAGAGUUUUAAGUGAUUACCAGAUACUUUAGCUGCUGAACCGCCACAUCAUGGUUGCCACACAACAAUUUCAAACAGAACCUAAAUAACUUCAUUGCAAAACAGUUAAAUGAAUCUAACUUAGUUUCGUCGUUUGAUUUUCAGCUGUUUUUAACAAGGAAGAUGAUAUUGGAACCUACACUAUCAAAGCGGUUGAUGAUCCGAGAACCUUGAACAAAAACUUUUACAUUCAGCCUCCCGGUAAUAUUUACUCAUUCAAUGAUCUUGUGUCUCUGUGGGAGAGAAAGAUUGGUAAAACCCUCGAAAAGGAGUAUGUUUCAGAGGAGCAGCUCCUAAAGAAUAUUCAAGGUUGGUUAAAACUCUCUUUUUUAAAUGUAUUAAAGAGAGCCGUAUAUUCUCUGCCGUAAAUGUUAUUGAUCCUGUCUUCUCCAAAAUGUUGCAGAAGCUGCACCUCCACACAAUGUGAUAUUAUCAAUUUAUCACUCUGCUUUCGUGAAGGGAGUUCAAACCAACUUCAAGAUUGAACCAUCUUUUGGAGUUGAAGCCUCGCAGCUUUAUCCUGAUGUCAAGUACACUACAGUUGAUGAGUACCUCAAUCAGUUUGUGUAACCCUUCUCUGUUUCCAGCUGCAGCUUGCAGGAUCUUGGACUCUUGGUAAAUAAAUAAUUGGCUUGUUGCCAUCUUUGGUUUUAUAUGUAAAAAUUAUGGUUGUUGGCCUUACUUUCUUCUGGUUGUCCAUGGAAUUUGUUAGACCAUAUUAUGUUUGCUAUGUCAGUGAUCAAAUGAAGUAGGCCAUGUACUUGAUUUGAGAGUAGUAGUUAUAAAAAGCCAUCAUGAUCAGGUGGGUGCGUGGGUUGGGCUUCUAUUAGGGUGCGUGUGUUGGGCUUCAGGGGCUUGUGAUAUGGGUUCGACAGCCCCUAACGGGCAGUCAUUAUAAAAAUAAUUAUAGAGUUACAAAUCUAUGUAAAAAGCAAAAAUUAAAAGUAAUUUAUCAAUAAAAAUAAUUAAAAUUAA